rnacentral:lncRNA from 1 species
UUUUUUUUGUUACCCAAAAUUUUGGGUACAUUCUGGGAAUGUUUUCCCAUCAUGUAGUUUAGUAAGAGGCAAUUCUUUGAACAUAAAGAAGUUGCAACAAAAACAUUAACAGAGCAAAAAAACAUCUUUUAAGAAUUUCCCUGAACAACAUCUCUCUGUAAUUAGGAUGAUGAAAUAUUGUUCUGCAUAAAUAUGUGCCUCAAUGUCCAUCGAAUUACAUUUAAAAAAGAAAAUAAAAGGGAGAAUUUCACAGAGUCGUGUUUUUGAAAAAUUUCUUCUGCAGAUUUUGUAACAAUUAACAAAUAAGCAGUGUUGUAAAUAUAGGGAAUGCAGUAGUUGCAAUUAGCCUUGGGUCUCUGAUAACAAGUGCCCAUGCACCUUUGCAAUCUCCAGCAUGAAAAAAGGCACUUUUACAUGUGUUUCUUUGCCAGCCUAGGACCUCCGAGACAGAAAUGGUGAUCAGAGAGUGUGGCCUAUGAAGGAGAAAAGAAAAAAGAUGUGAUUAAUGAACUAUAUGUUAUAUAAAAAAAGAUAAGUCUUCCUAUAGUACCUAUAAUUCCUGUAAUAAAGUUGAGAAAAUACUUUUAUUUCAGAGAGAGCAACAUGCUUACCCUUACAGACAGUAGCACAGAACAAGCACUGACUAUGUACUUGGCUUCAGAGUUAGACAAGACAAUUUAUGGAUCAGGGCAAAUUGAUCUUCAGGGAAAAUUGCCCAUGAAAUUGAUAUACCAAUGCAUUUUCUUUUACUUAACACUACAUCAUCUAACCAAGAUGCUUGCGUGCUCUGUCAAAAUGCUAUGGCAGGAUAUUGGCUCUUCUACCUAAGAGUGCAUGCACCACCAUAGGUCCCCCAUGCUGUUUAUGCUUACUUGCGCACUGUGUGCUGACCACCAGGAUAUGGAAUGAUGGAGAAUGACAGGAAUUUGGCAAGAAGGUGGCAGGUAAUUAUAAUAGAAGGCAGUAGUGGUGGAUGUAUUCUGAUAAUUAUGGAGAGUGUGUAGUUUGGGUUCAAGCAGUUCCUAACUUGAUGGCUAACCAAUAAGUCCCCCACAAAGAUCUGUGUAAGCACUCUAACUGCUAGAGCAUGCUGUAGUGAUUAUGGUGAUCCCCCCGCAAAAGUAAUUGUAACGGAUCCCUGGCACCCCGACAGGGCACCUCCGCCAACAGAUGCUUCCUAGCUGACGCUGAGGACAGUAAGCACCGCGCUGGACACCACAAGCACCGCAGACUCUACAACAGCCGUAGCUUAGCUGGGAUUUUCUUCCUCCCACCCUGGACCAACCUCUGAUAUCCAGGACCAUGUGGGAAAGACCUCUCCUACUCCAGAGAGCGUAGCAGGAACAGCUCUUAUAAGAGCUACUAAUUGGGAGUAUAAGGAGUAUAGCAAUCCCCAGUGUGAAUAUAGCAGUAUAGAAGUUCCCCUGCAAUCACGAGACCAAGCUACGUGUUGAGGGUUCAGCAGGACUCUCUUGUAAUGGUGCCACACUGUCCUUUUUUGCAAGUCCCCAUGCAAGGGAACACUCCAGUGGACCUUGUGGGGGACAGGAUGACAAUUGUUACAAGCCAAUGAUAAUGCAGUACAGUAGGUGACACUCCCACACAUUACACACAAUCCCUUCCCUCAGCCUAGGAGAUAAUUGAGUCAAGUCAUGUAUGUAACUCAAUUAUUUCCAGGCAGAAAAACACACAUUUUUAUAAAGUAUCAUAAGUACCCCAAAACACAACAUAACCCUAUAAACCCACAUCCCCUGAUAGCCCUGAUCUGGUGAAUAACAUAUCCAAAAAUCGCCCAGAUCAGAGCAGGGGUUCAGGAAAUUCCUGGAAGUCUCUUUUUGACCAACUGCAUGCAUGGUUUCAUGCCCAAAGCAGUUCCAGAGAAUUAGGCUGUGUAUCCGGUCUAUUUCAAACAGUCGAAAUACCUUUCGAAUUACCGAAUGUACUGGUUGAUGAACAUAGUCAGUGUGUGUCCAUUGUUCAUGGGCUUCGACUCACCGAACACCGUUCGACUCCAGUUCGAAUAGCCGAAGCUCCCUGGAAGGUAACUGUUCAGCGGUGUUUGUGCCGUUGCAUGUCCGAUUUGAGUUCCAUGAACUCGACGACAAAACACAGCUGAACACGUUCGACUAAACAAAAUGGCUGCCACCACAUGUUCAACUAUACGAACGGCGACCACCCAGCUGUUCGUCAAUUUGGCAGCGGUUAACUAUCAGCCUGGAAGGUAAAUAGGCUGCACACUCCACUUGCGUGUUGUCCGGCUGUUCGGUGGUUCGAAGUGGCACUUCGAAACGAUUUGAAAGUUGGAAGAAUCAUUGUUCCAAGUCCCAAUAGGCACAAAUAGGGUCUCUUAACCACAAUAAAUUAAAGGGGCCAUAGUCACAGGGUAAAAGGCUGGCAAGUAGUCCCCUCCAAACCCCAGUGGCGAAGUGGUUUUCGCCACAGUAAUGAAAUUAUUUGCUAACAGGUUGACUUCUUAAAGGGACACUAUAGUCACCAGAAUAACUACAGCUUACUGAAUUUGUUCUGGUGAGUACACUGUCUUUUCAGAGAAAAAGCAGUGUUUACAUUACAGCCUAGUGAUAACUUCAUUGGCCACUCCUCAGAUGGCUGUUUGAGAUCCUUUCUGGCUCAUGGCUGCCGAAAAUGCAUCCAAACAUUCAGUGUGUCCUCCCUCUGCAUACAGACACUGAACUUUCCUCAUAGAGAUUCAUUGAUUCAAUUCAUCUCCAUGAGGAGAUGCUGAUUGGCCAGGGCUGUGUUUGAAUCAUGCUUGCUCUGCCCCUGAUCUGCCUCUUUUUCAGUCUCAGCCAAUCCUAUGGGGAAGCACUGUGAUUGGAUCAGGCUACCAUUUCUGAUGAUGUCAGCAGACUGCUUGUUUUUCUGAGUCUAACAGCAUGCAGAGUUACAGCUUCAGGCUUGAAUACAGUAAGAUUUUGCUAUAUUUAUGGAGACAUGAGGGGUGAGGAUGAGGAAUACAUGUUUGUGUUCCUGACCCUAUAGCGAUCCUUUAACUUCGGUUUGCUGUUCACCAAUAAAGCUCAUGCACGGAGCUUCCUUUAGUUCUCUUGAGCAAAGCCCUGCAGUGCAGUGUCUGCUCAUUGGCUGAGAGCAUCAGUUGAUAAGCUCUUGACUUAGCUCUGCCUCCUUGUAAUUGGUCCUUAUAUCUCCCAGGUACUAACACUGAUUCCAUCAAACACACAACUCUAUCAUUUAUCUAACUCUAUGUCCUGCAAUGUUGGCCUGGGUAGGAAUUAUAGCUAACAGAAAAUUGACAUGCAAAUGAAGGCAGAUGCAUAAAUAUAGUUCAAUUGGCUUCAUUAAAAAAAAUGGAAGGAGUAUUUUCCUUUGAAGGGGCAGGUGCAGCUACAUGCACGUUAUGUCUGCAGCUGAUUUUAACGGCUUAGCUAAGCUCCCUCUGCACUAUUUCUAAAUGCUUAGUUCAUACUCUGUACCUCUCCCCUUACCUACUGCAAGCAGUCUCUUACAGAAUAUAUGGUGCUGACUGAUACUUAAAGUUACAUUAUUGCAAGGCAAAAAAGACAGCUGCCUAGGGUCACUUUUAAUACAGCAAACGGAAGCCAGUGACCUGGUUGCUUAGUGAGUUAAUUUCACACAUAGAGGUAAAGUAUCAGGCACAUUCAUCCUUUGAUUGCCCUGAGCAUCUCCCCUUGCACAUUAACCUCUCUUCACAUCCACUUGCUCAGCACUCUCAUGGACGAUAGAACAUCUCUACAGGUGGGUGAUCGAAGUAUGCUUUUCCUUUGCUCCCAGGCACAAAGAUAUGACACACUCAGACUCUGUUCCUGCAUGUGUCUUGCCUCUCAAUCAAUACCUUGUAAAGUUGUAAGCUAACGUUUGAGCGCCCAAGACAAGAUGAUAUGUUUUGUUUAUUUUCUAAGAAAGAAGUUAAAACUGUUUCUUGAAAAAAAUAAAACCCUUAAACUCUAGUGAGUGAUGCGAGUUAUGUGGUGACUUGUGUGAUGUGUUUGUGUGUGGGUAGCUAUGACUGUUGUGUGGGACUAUAUGUGUUUGGCGGUGACGGAUGUGUGGGACUUUGUGUGAAAUGUGGGUGGCUGUGUGUGUGUAGCUGUGAGUAAUGUGUGUGGCUGUGUAUGUUGUGUGCGCUGAGGAUAUUUGGUGUGUACAUCCUUGCCACAUAUUACGAUAUUUGUUUUAAAUAUGUAAUUUUGUACCUCCAUCUGGCUCACGUUCCUGUUUUCUUGGUGGUGUUGGGGACUAUGAUUAAGGUCUUUGGGGACUAUGAUUGUGGUCUCUGGUAGUCUACUGGUGGCUGUAAACAUGAAGGUCCAGUAGGCAAAAAGUGUAGGUAAGUGUAAAUGUUCCUUCUGGACCAGAACUGCAAGGAAACAUGCACAGUGGUCUGCACCCACCCAGGGAUGAAGACCAUAAGCAUCCCCCACAGUAGUUACGUAGUGAAGGGGAAAAGGGUGUGCCUGGGCGCAUUGGACACAUCCCAUGGACACCUCUAUUUAUAUACAUUUCUCGAAGCCAUUCUUGCUUUUGGAAUUUUCGCCCUCUCUUUUUGUUCAUACAUAUUAUUCGUUUGACUGUUAUGUACUGUAUAUAUGCGAUCAAGCAAAAGAUUUUCAAUAUUAUUCAAGUCUGGGCACUUCCAAAACCCUAAUUAUUCAUUUCAUGAAGUAGUUCAUGGUUGAUUUUUAGAUGUAUUUUGAUCAUUAUUUUGUUGGAAUGUCCAGCCCCUCUUUAGCUUCCGUUUAUUCACUGAAGAAAUAAUUUAUUCAUAUUUAGUAGCAGUUGUAUUGCUAGGGUCAAGAAAUACCUAGGGCUUGAACAAUUUGGGGAGCGACACAAUAUGAUGACCCCUUCCAAAGCUCCCACCUGUCCCCUCCUAAAUCCCACCACUGCCCUUCCCAAACUCCACCUCAGCACCUACAAGUUGCAUCAUUUGACACACUCACAGUUACUUACACACACAUACGGGUUCACAUGUGCACACAUGGACUCUAUACACAGGCAGACACAGACACACAUGUGCAGACACACACAGACAAACAUACACAGGCAUAGAGAGACACACACAGAUACACAUAGACAGGUGAAUAGUCGCAUGCAUGUCUUGGCGUCAUAUUUGAUUCUGGCCUCACCUUUGAGCCUCACAUCCAGUAUGUUGCCAAAUCAUGCAGAUUCCAUCUUUAAAACAUAGCCCGCAUCCGACCCUUUCUUAGGCAAGAUGCUACCAAGGAGCUUGUCCGUGCUCUAGUAAUUUCCUGCAUGAAUUAUUGUAACCCUCUCCUAAUUGGUCUUCCCAAAAGCCAUAUUGCCCCACUACAGUCUGUAAUGAAUGCUGCCACCAGACUGAUUUGCCUCUCACAGCUCGGUCCUCUCACACCUCACCCCUCUGCCAGUCCUUACAUUGGCUUCCUGUAUCCUAUAAGAGUCAAUUCAAAGUGGUAACCCAUACCUAUAAAGUACUGAACAAUUCUACCCCCUCUUAUAUCUCUUCACAGAUCCAUAGGUAUGCCCAUUCUCGGUCUCUCUGCUCUGCCCGUGGAAAGCUUUUGGCCUCCCAGUGUAACCUUUACCUCACAUACCUGUCUCUUGCUCUCUCCUAAAGGGCAGUACUCUACUCUCUUCUCCAGCUCUGCUUCACUCACACCUUAUUUGAUUGCUAUUUCCUGUCCUAAUGUGUUUUAUACCCCACCACCUAUAGGCUGCAAGCUCGUUUGAGCAGGGUUCUCUUCAACCUAUUGUUCCUGUACGGUUUUUUGUAAUUGUCCUAUUUAUAGUUAAAUCCCCCCUCUCAUAAUAUCGUAAAGCGCUAUGGAAUCUGUUGGCGUUAUAUAAAUGGGAAUACUAAUAAUAAUAAUAAUAACAUGCAGUCAAAGACAGUCUCUAUCACACUCAGGCAUUGACAGACACGUAGAUGCACAAAUGGAAACAGACAGGCACACACAAACAAACACAGAGAGACAAAGACAUUGACAAACAGUUACAAACAGACAGACAAAGAUGGACAUAGAGACUGACACACAGGCACAGAUAGACAGACACAGACUGCCAGAGCAGCGUCCUGAGAGGUUCCAGGUGUCUAAGAAAUAAUUAAGUUCUGGGACUGGCAGCAAUAGACUAUCAAGGCCUAAUAAAUCAAAUUAUGGUAAGACCUUACAAAGAUGGCUGAAAGAGUGCCCUAUCCAUUGCACACACUAUGCUUACUGUUUUAUUUGUUUCUUUGAUCCACUAAAUUCAGUAAAUGAGUACUGACUGUGUAUUCAAAAAUUGCAACACUAUGUUGUAUUCAGUGCACUUUUCAUUACAGUGAUUGUGUUAACUUAUUUUCACCCCAAAUCAACAAAAUAUGUUAUUUGGUCAGAAGUGCCCACACUUUUGAAUAAACCCAUGCAUGUCUCCAUACAUCCAUGCUUGUGUCAAGUUUACCCAGCCUGCUAAUUAAAGGAACACGCCAACCACCAUAACCGCUACAGCCUGUUAAUGGCACUAUAACCACUAUAAGAGAGCUAUUGAGAAAAUUAUAUAUUUAGCAUAUGCAAAACCAGACUUUAUCAAUUGAUAUUAUUUGUGCAUGAGCUCCCUUCAUUCAGUUGAACAGACCUGCCAAUUUCUAAGUACAACUCUUUCUCUAAAAAUUGUCUGCUGGGAGCUCAGCACAGUGUUUAGCACCACGCUCUGUUUUUCAUUCUAUGACGUGACAGGCAUGCAAGUGGACCUCAAGGGAAUGUUUCUAUUUUUUGACAGUGCUGUGCUGAGGCUGAGUUAUCCAUUAAACAUACUAAGCUUCUUCUACUCAUAGAGGACUGAAACAAAUUAUCAAAAAAAAAAUCAACAACAAAAUGUUUUAUUUUUCUCUAAUUUCUUUUAGCUGGAUUACUCCUGGUGUUAUUUAGGCCUUGUCAGACCAAUAAAUUACAACUUUGUUUCUGGAUCUCCACCUUUGCAGAUUAUUUUACAGCAUACAUUGCAUUACCAGGGACUUUUUAUAUGUGACAAUAUCAAUAUAUUAAGUUUGCCUGUCAAGUCACUGUUAAUGAAUGAGGAAAAUAUAGGUGGGGAUUAGCCACAGAGGUGGAACAGUACCACACACAGUGGUGAAGGAACAUAUACUUCCUAACAAAUGUAAAGAAGGCUGAACUUGAUGGACACAUGUCUUGUUUCAGCCUAUGUAACAAUGUAACUAUGUGACACUUUGAAACAUAAAUGUGGGAUAUGGGCAGAUCCAAAGCAGUGCAUAUCACAGAUGCCAAAAGUGGAUGUCCCCUAAAAAUGGUUGUGUUUCUUUCUGGCUAUCCUUCUCCAUGAAAGCCCAUGAAAGCUCAUGAAAAUACCACUCACAUUUGGAAGAGCUAUAUAAGAGCUCUGCUUUGUAGCGCAUGGACGGUAUAAUCCCCGUCUAAGGAUAAAAAAUGGUGUAGAUGAUGCUGGUCCUCCAGAUGCAAGUGCAGGUAUAGAUGGUAUAUGUAAAAAUAAAAAUAAAGAGCAGAGAGAAACUCCGAUAGUGUGGUAUGUAUGGUAAGUUCAAAUAUAAAAAAUAAUUUACUUACAAUCUUCAGAGAAAAGGCCAACUCUAGUUAUCUAGAGCAGGCCUUUGCUCUGAAGAUUGUAAGUAAAUAACUUUUUUAUAUUUCAACUUACAAUACAUACCACACUAUCAGAGUUUCUCUCUGCUCUUUAUUUUUACAUAUACAAUCUAUACCUGCACUUGCAUCUGUAGGAGCAGCAUCAUAUACACCAUCUUAUAUCCUUAGACGAGGAUUAUACCGUCCAUGCGCUACAAAACAGAGUUCUUAUAUAGCUCUUCCAAAUGUGAGUGGUUCUCCUACAGCUAUUAACUCAAUAUUUUUCACCUUGCCAAAAUUGUAUUGCACUAUUAUUGUCUGUCUUUUAUUCUGCGGUCUUCAACCAACCCUCCUUACUACAGUUGUAUGUACCAUUUUUUUGUGCUGAAAAAGCCCCACUCGACUUAUACUCGAGUCACUGUCUGUAUUAUGGCAACUUACAUUGCCAUAAUACAGACCAGGACCGCCAGGCUCAUUAAAGCCCGGCGGUCCUGUUGGGGGCUGGCAGGAAGCAUUUACUUACCUUUCCUGCAACUCCUGUCAGCUCCGUGCAGCUCCCCCGUUCAGCUCACAGUGUAAGUCUCGCGAGACCCGCGGCCAUUAGAGCGUUGCCAUGGUUUACCGUGGCAACGCUCUGCGCGACACGCAGACCGCUAGACUUACACUGGGAGCUGACAGGGGAGCUGCACGGAGCUGACAGAAGCAGCAGGAAAGGUAAGUAAAUGCUUCCUGCCAGCUCCCCCCCUGCACAGCCCCUCCACUGGACCACCAGGGAUUAAGAUAGCCCCCUUCCCUGACCAGUUAACAAGCAGGGAGGGGGGACAAAAAAAUUAAAUAAUAAUAAAUAAAAAAAUAAUAUAUAAAAUAUAUAAUAAUAUAUAAAUACAAAAAAUUAAAUAUUAAAAUAAAAAAAUAAAAAAUAAUAAAAAUGCCCACCCCCACCCAGUUCACACACACACACUACACACACACACACACUGCAUUCACACAAACACACACACUCUGCAUUAUAUACACACAGAGUGUGUGUAUAUGAUGCAGAGUGUGUGUUUGUAUGAGUGUGUGUAUAUAAUGCAGUGUGUGUUUGUAUGAAUGCAGUGUGUGUGUAUAUAAUGCAGAGGGUGUGUUUGUAUGAGUGUGUGUGUAUAUAAUGCAGAGUGUGUGUUUGUAUGAGUGUGUGUGUGUAUAUAAUGCAGAGUGUGUGUUUGUAUGAGUUUUUGUGUAUAUAAUGCAGAGUGUGUGUUUGUAUGAGUGUGUGUGUAUAUAAUGCAGAGUGUGUGUUUGUAUGAGUGUGUGUGUAUAUAAUGCAGUGUGUGUUUGUAUGAGUGUGCAUGUAUAUAAUUAUAAAAAUCACAGAAUUUCAUAGCCCCAAGUUCUACUUAUCCAUGAGGCAUAGCAUAUUUCACAAUUGUUGGUCACAAAACUGCACUCGACUUAUAAACGAUAUCGACUUAUACGUGAGUAUAUACGGUACGUAUAAUUCUGGGCGCAGUAUACACUUUACUCUUUUUUUGCAUUAAAUCAAGGUCAAUGUAAGAAUCUGUUAGAAGGUAUUUUAUGGUGUAUUUGCUGAGAAUAUAGAACAGCAACGUAGAAACCUCAUUCUCUUUUCAAGUUUCAUGUCAAUCUCUUUCGGUCUCUCAGCCCUAUUCACCACCUACAGAAAAUGUUGCCUCCCUUUUCUAUUCAGCUUUUGCAUUUCACAUUUUGUGAUAGGAGUACCAAAAUAUCUCUUGUCCGGAAUUCCCCUCGAAAGCCUUAACUUGCCUCAGUUGCGAGCCUAGCAAGUCAAUGGCCCUGAAGAGGUUAAGGAGCAAGUUCAUAGUUGGAGACAUAGAAAUAAAAGGACUGAGUUGACAACUGAUGUUCAAACUGUAAGAUGAAAUAACAGCAUUAAAAAAAAACUCACUUUUUGCGAAUAAACUGCAUAGAUGAUCACUUUUUUAGACUUCGAACCCAAUUAUAUAUAGGUUCUCGUUAUUCAAAAUCCUUGCUUUAAACACAGCUUUCUCAGCAUGGCACAAAGGAGAAAUGUAUGAACCAAACAUAUCGUCCUACAGGAAGUCAGCUUUGAUGUUGUUAGAUCACGUCAGUGGAAGAUAAAACAUUUUUCAAUUUAUCUGGCUGAUCUGUAGAAAGGCUAUCUGCCACACAGCCUUGUAGUUUUUGGGGGGGAAGAAAAGGGACAAAAUCACUCAACCAUGCAAGUAAAUGCAGAGUACAUACAAGAUUCAGCGCAAUCACUCACUCUCACUCACUCACUGAACACCAGCUUCAAAGUUCACAAAAUGUAAUUUAAAAAAACAAACAAAAAAAAAUUGAUUCAAAACACAAGACUCAUGGAAAAAUAAUGGAGAUUCAGCUAAAGUAUAUGACCAUGCAUUGCAUAAGCCUUCCAGGCCAAGUCCUUUGUUUUUGCACCCCCUCCUGUUACAGGUGCCUAUUUAACCUUGAACUGCAUAGCGUCCCUACCUAUAGGCAUUAGGUUUUUAGGAGAAGACCUCCCUAAAAUAAGGUACAUUGGCGUUGUGGCAGGCUUAUACAAUGUAUGAUCAUAUACUCUAACUAAACCCCCAUUAUUUUUGCUUGAGUCAGAUAUUUAAAAAAAAAAUAAUUUAAAAAAAGAAUUGUAAGCUUUCAAGUUGCUGUUGAGUGAAUGAGCUGGAUCUUGUAUGUUUUAUUAAUUGGCCCCAGCAGCACCCUUUUAAUGUAUGCAUGUUUAGGUGAGUGCAGCCAUCGUGGUUUCAUAAGUAAAUGUAUACUAACAGAAAUAUCCACAUUGUUAUAAAUACAUUCACCAUGAAAUAUAGCCCUGACAUGUCUCCACAGAAAUUGGAAUCCUGUAAUAUAAAUAAAGACACAGCUUGAUUUAGGAUCUCAAACAGAUCAUGGAAAAAUAACUAAAAUGUUGUAUGUGUGUUUUUUUUCUUGCAAAAUGGUAUUUAGUGUCAGUUGGUUUUUAUUAGAAUUGAUUUCAUUAGUUCCGUACUGCUAUCUAUCCAAAUUUGAACCAGUUUGGUAAUCAGACGGACUCCCGAAUUCCAAGCUAAAGUGAGACUAAAUCAAGAUUAAAAUGACACAAUGCACAAACAUAAUGACAUAAUGACCAAUAAAAUGUUAGUUUUGUGAUUCUGAAUUUCACUUUAGGCACCAAAAAAAUAGUUGUUUUUUUUUUUUUCACAGAUCAAGUGAGAAGUAAGGAAUAGAGGACAAAAACGUAGGAGCACUUUAAAAAUCCAAGUUUAUAUAUUUAGUUAAUAUAUAUUAUACAUAAAUAUAGAUAUUUUUUUUAAAUGCUCCUUCUGUAUUUCCCUGUAUUGAUUAUUUUUUCUCACUUGCUCUAUGAACCGAAUGGCAGGAAAAUGCUCCUAUCAGUGUACAGCAAAGUACAUGCACAUAUGUAUAUUCUGCCAUACACUGAUUGGCCCAUGUUAACUCUUUAAAAAAAAAUUAUUUUUAAAUUUGCUUUCCAAAUUAAGUUUUUGCUAUCGAACCAAAAUAUGUCCAAAACACGGUCGUCCCAAAAAUGUUUUCAAUUUGUUAAAAAAAAUGUUUCUGCCAAUUCAAAUUUUGCACAAGUCUAGUUUUUAUGUGAUGCGAUGGUAGUCUACAGCUCACAAAUUACUGCCACAUACACACAAGCAAGGAUGGGUGCAGGUUCGAAAAAUGUGCAUCCACGUUUAUUUCAGAGAAUUGUUUGGCUGAAAUUCAAAACAAUAAAAUACAGGAAAAACAAACACAAGAAGCUGACACGUACAGGUCUUAUGGAACUUGAAAAAUGUGUCUAUUUGCUAACAUUCUUGAGUCCUGCAUGUAAACACCACUGGGCGCAAUGUGAUGGACAUUGGCACAUUAAAAAUAAGACCUGCAUUUAGUAAUUCAUUGAAAUUCUUUAUUUAGAAUAUAUUAACAUGUAAAUGUUGUAUAAGUACUGGGAAUGUAUUCACCAAAGAGCAGGUCUAUCACACACUAAAUCACUGUUCAAUUAAACUGAAUAGUUCACAGGGGAAUUAUCUGAAACUCUUCACAUUUAGUAACUGAGGAUUUCAUAGAAUAACUCUGCCUACUAAUACUAAAUUUAUCUGUGAACUGUUAAUGCACUGACCACAGCAGAACUUUAUUUUAGUAGUAAGGACUAUUUCGGUAAGCAUUAAUGACAGUCAAAUUAAAUUAGAUGACUUAGCAGUCAAAACUUCCAUAGGUUUAAAAGAAUCCUUCUUUAUGAAAUCGUUUGUGAAAUCUACUCUCAUAUUAACUGGCAAAAUCUCAUGGGUUGUAAAAAUAACACAAAAUGAUUAUUUAGUAUGAAAAAAAUGAAAAAAAUGAGCAUUUUGUUAAAUUACAAAUUUGUCUCUCGUAUCUCCCACACAAUUAAAUAGCACACAAGAGAUUUAAUAAUAAACUUACUUCAAACUCGCUUGUUUUGUCAGUGGUCACACCCCUUUGUCACAAUCUGCAUAAUAUGAUAACUGAGCUAGUCUAUUUAUCUACAAUGUAAACUAGCACUGAAAUGCAGGACUGAACCGUUAAUUGACAACUGACAAAAUUACAUCCAAACAGAAAUCAAAGUUUAACAUUGUGGUAUUCUAACAAAGUAUGAUAAUGUGUGGGAAAAAGGGACACUACAGGCACCCAGACCACUUCUGCCCAUUGGAUUGGUCUGGGUGCCAACUCUCACCACCCAUAACCCUGCAACAUUAAUUAUUGCAGUUUUUAUAAAACUAUCCGACAGCCACUAGAGGGACUUCCGUGUUCUUAGAACACAAAAAUGUUUUAAACGACGCUGGACAUCCUCACGCUAUGUGAGGACCUCCAGCGUCACCGAAAUCCCCAUAGGAAAGCAUUGUAUAAUGCUUUCAUAUAGGGAGGUCUAAUACGCGUGCGCGGCCGCAUGCGCGUUAGGUCUCCCCUGCCGGCUGAUGUUGGCAGGGGAGGAGAGUAGGCGGAGCCUGACCCAGUGCAGAGGGACAUCGGCGCUGGACUCUGGUAAGUCACUGAAGGGGUUUUAAACCCUUCAGCAACAUGGAAUGGUGGGUGGGAGGGAGAGAGGCACUGCAGGGUCCUGCAGUGCCAGGAAAAUGGAUUUGAUUUCCUGGCACUGGAGAGCCCCUUUAAAAAAAUAAAAAUAACUGGACAAGUAUUUUUUUUAUCUGCAAAGUUUAUAAAUAAUUGAGUUGGACAGUUUCUAUAGUUUCACAUUUUAUUCAUUAUUUAUAAUGUUUUUUAAGGUGAAAAUCAGAAGUACCAAACUAACAAUUGUAUAUUUGUAAUGAUAAUGUUAACAUUUCUCAAAAGUUUUAGAGAAAAUAUAAUUGAAAACUAAAUUUAAAAAUUUAGGUCAAAUUAGCAAAAUUAGACAAGAUCUAUCUUGGGAAAAGUUCAAACCUUUUGAUCACAAUUUUGCAAUUUAAAAGAACACCAUAGCGUUAGGCAUACAGAUAUGUAUUCCAAAUGCUAUAGUGCCCAAGUCAUCAUUUAGGUGACUGGGUCCUUGCUGUCAGGGUUAACAAGGUGAGUUUAGUUACCCUUUCUACCUCACAGUGCUGGUCUCUACCAUUCCGUCUCUUUGGCUAAGAUCAUGGAGAUUGAUGAUCUCAACCAAUGCAAUGCUUUCCCAUAAGAAAGUAUUGGAAGGCUAGUGCGCAUGUUCUGAUAGAGGUAGUGGAGUUUUACACCACUAUUUCUGCUAAAGCUCCCCUAGUGGCUUUCAGUAUGACUGCCCUUAGAAGCAAGUUAACCCUGCAUCGAAUACAUGGCAAUUUCUGGAGAAUGACAAUGUUCUCAGCUGCUGAGAUUAAACGGGGGAACAUGGCACCCAGACCACUUGGUCAGGGUGCUUAUAGAUUCCCUUUAAUUUAAAAUAUAUUUACAGUUCACUUUUUUUAGUGAAUAAACCAUGAAGUGUUAAUUUGAUGUGUUUAAUGCAUUUAACACUAUUUAAAAAUUGUGUGAGAUUUAUUUUGCACAACCCAAAAGCUAAGUGCAAAUUAAAUAUGUGCAAAUUGUUUAAUACUGGCAUUUUUUAUCUUUUAGCAUGUGCAAAACAGCAAAUUAAUAGCCUUUCAUAUAGUUUAUACUGCUAGAAUCCCAAGAUGCCAUAAACACAGUGUGUGAUCUUGCUUGCAUGCACUCAGUGUCCUUGUAUGGAGAUCUGUUGGGUUGUUGUGCUAUUGACAUUAUGGGAAGAAGAAGACUGAACUUGUACAAUCAGGGCAUCAUGGUGAAAAAUGUUGGUGUCUGGGAUGCUGUGAAGAUGUUUUAUAUGCCACUUCUCAUUAAAUGCUGCAAUAGCGUCAGCACUGGUGAGUAGACACUGUAUUAACACCAACUGAAAUGUGACAAUUUCUUUAGAAUUUGCAUCUUCUAUUUUCCAUAAACCCAUUUUUUUUGUUGUAACACUGAAAAUGUUUUACAGUUUCCCAAAUACAAUUUCAGAGCAUCACUUCUUUAGCUUGUUAUUUACUUAAUUUUUGUAUCAAAUUGCAACUUUUAUUGCUUGGUUUAUAGACUGUAUACUUGUUUUAUUUCAUGUUAUCUUACAUGCAUCUAGAAAUCUAAGCUAAAUGAAAAUCUUAAAGGAACACUAUAGUCACCUAAAUUACUUUAGCUAAAUAAUGACAGGCCCCUGGACAGUUCCCUGGUGUUCCCAAAUGAAAGACACCAGGGAGCUAAAACAGGAUGUCAGGUGUGGCAGAACCCCUGCCUGUUCGUGAAUACCUUUUAAAUAUUAUGUGUCUUUUCCUAUGUUUUUGGGUAUUGUGCCCGCUCCCUGACCACCCUGAUAACUCAAUUAGAAUGUUAGGUUAGAAUGCUCUCACCUCGCAACAUAAUUGGCAAACCUCAAGGGAAACAAUUAAUUAGUGCUCCCCUGAGUGGCCGCCCUUUUGUUAGAUGAACGCCAACCAGAGAGAUUGAUCGUGGGUUGUUUCCUGGCCCGUUUGUUCCCUGAACGAGGACCUUCUCAGCGCCCCAUUAGAACGUUCGCACCAAUUAUUUAGAACGUUCGCACUUGCAACAUAGGUUUGAAACAGCAAGGGAAGUAAUUAAUGAGUGCUCCCCUGGGUGGCCACUAUUCGUACCGAUGAACGGCGGCCAGGGGGAGCAUUCAUACCCCUAAAGGAGACGCUUCCCUUGUCUGGGAUCCACACGGGGACCUCGCAAACCGAGGUGAGUCGAAAGAGGAAACGUUGUGCGGGUCCCUGAGAUUGGUGUGGACGCUUUUGGGGCACUGGCUGGUUUGGCGGACUUUCCUGUGCCCAAGGGACAAAGAGACUAGCUCUUUUCCCGCCGGCAGGCUUUUCUGUGCCUGGGUGUCACAGGGAGGGUCCCUUUUUCCCGGACUCCCAGGCAGAGAGCCUGCUGGGAAGAAGAUCCCGUGGCAUCUGGGGUGGGAAACCCUGUGUUUUGUGGCGGGAUUUGGGGACAAAGGGAACAGAGUCCACUUCCCGCACUAGGGCCCCAUGGAGGGGGAGGAUCCUGUACAGUUCUGUGGGAGACCCCUUGCAUAGGGAUAUGCAUAAAAGCCGUGUGUGGCCAAUAAAAUUGUGUUGUUUCUCCAGAACUCUUGUCCAGUUAAUGGGUGGAAAUGGGUCUCUGUAUAUUCUAGAGUGGCUGAAGGCAGGGAAUUAGCAGUUGGGUUACCCGGGGUCCGCUACAGCAGGAAAGGACCCUGAAAUUGUGACUGUACCACCAAAACCUGCACUUUGUCAGGCCACUUUCAAUGACUUUGGCCUAUUUUUGUAUAUUCAUCAUCUUUGCCAUCUGCGUUUAACAAUCUGCCCAUGAUUUCAUUAUAAUUUACCUUCUUUUUUUUUCUUGUGACACCUAUAGCAUUGAAAAUAUCUUCAAGAGCUCCCCAUUUCUGGUCUAAUCCUCUCCGGUGUGACCUUCUUAUCAGAGCAAAACAGCAAACCAACCUUGGCCAGUAUCUUGCUAACCAUCACCAGGAUGUCCACAUGGAACAUUUUGUCUCCUCAUUUUCUCCUGUGCAGCCUGUACUAUAUUUAUUUCAUACUCAACCAGGGCUGUGUAAGAGUGUGUAUACCUGCUUACACUGUCCACUUUCAUGUUUAUUUGGCACCAAACACAUUCUUUCAAUUCUCCCUGAUGAUCUUCACCACCUGCAUCUACCUCUCUUCCUGCUAUGUUUAUUCCUCUUCCUUUUAAUGACACAUAAUUCCAAUCACUAAUUUUCUGUUGCUUUAUUCCAGUCAAGCUCAUGGCACACUGACGAUGCUUGCUGGCCUCGGGAAAUAAUAUAGUGGAACAUGUAUAGUUUCCAGUCCUCUUGCAUCUGCUAUAGAUGCAAAAGAAUAAUAUGGAGUUUCCAGCUGAGGUAUCCCAUGGCUGGAACACACCAGGUAUUUGUGAAGUAAUCAGGCUCAUUAAGUCAGUCGCACAUUGACUGAAACUAUUAAAUUUUGCAAUGUACAAUUAAGAGAAAUAAAAGGUGCAAACCUGUAGAUACAUACAUACUUCUUCUGCAGCUGAUGUAAAUUCUGACACUCCCUAAAUAAGUCUCUUUGUGAGAGUCUACUUGUACAAAUACUGCUUUUUUUUAUCUCACAGAAUAAAACCAAGUUUAUUUAAUGGUAAACUUCGAACAUUAUAAUGUUGAGAAAUUAUACAAACCCAAAAAUAUAGCUUUUUAUACUUUAAAAGACAAACAGUAUAAGCUUAACAAAUUUGUGUCAAAAUUUGUGUAGAUUAAUCAACAAAUAUAAAAAAAAAAAAACAGACCAGUUACCUAAUGCUUUUUCACUGCAGGCUACGUUUUAACUUUAGGUUUAAAAUAUGAAAUGUGAAAAUGACUUGUAUAACCAUAAGGCUAAACAUUCUGAGGCAUAAACUCCUGAUAUAAAAAACCUUACAAAGUUAUCCAGUAAACAUCAGAUUUUUCUGAAUUGGGCAUCUAAUUAUAUAACACAAGAGUGCGACCUAGUGUCCCCUCCAUGUGCAGCUGGUGAGGGCUCUAAAUAAAUAUACAAAGGGGGUGGGCCUGCCUUUGCCCCUCCCCCUCCCCAAAAUAUCUGCCGUUUGACCCUCUGGCGACUCGGAAACCUUAAUUCCCUAAACAUUCUUAUUAAAAUAAAUUAAACCUACCUACAUCCCUCGUAUUAAUAACAAUGGAGGGACAUUGUAAAUUUUAAAAAUUAUACUUACCAUCGGAAGUCUGCGUAAAUGUCAAUCUCCUUUUCUUUAGCCCCUAAAAAAGGCCAAAUUAAAUUUCACAAUACCGCAAUGCAAUUAUUGAAAAAAAAAAGCCACUGAUUCGCAAAAAGCCUUCUGAAUUUUUUUUUAAGUGUAAUGCAAUAAAAUUAAAUCCUUCUUCCACGUAAAAUGAGAUUCAAGACAGCAAAGGUCUUUAUAAAGCCUUUCCCAUGAUUUGAGCUCUCAUUAGAGCGUUCUGAUUGGUUGGCUUGUAAGCCAACCAAUUAGAGUGCUCUGACAGACAAGUCUCACUUCUCUCGAAUAUUCCCAGUAGAGUCAUAAAUUGUACUGUGCAAAAACCUCCUUUGCAUCUUUGUGAGAAUUUUUAUCCAGAACUUUUAUGUUCUUUAAGUUCAGGCAUAAAAGUCAAUUGGGACAUAGACUACUAGGGGUUAACAGAGCUAGGAAAAUAGCCAAGAGCCUUUUUAUACAGCCCUAGUCAUUGGCAUAAUGGGAAAUUAAUAAGGCAGAGUUUAUAAACACAUUCUGUUCUAAAUUAUGUUCUUUACAUCUGUUUGAAGUGUAGCUUAUUAAUUAGAUCAUAAAAUGACUGAAAUGUGUAGACCUGCAAUGUUUUAUUACGUAUAGACAAGGUUCCAGAAAGUGAUAGCAAGAGGUAUUACUGAAAAAAUACAAAGAUGUAACAAACAAUAUUUGCCAGAAGGUUGUGUCUAAAUAUAGUUAAAAUGAGAUCUGGUUACAAUAACGGAUAAUUCAAGUCAAAUUGGAGAACUACAAAUUAGAAUAGCCAUAACAAAGACCAACCAGAACACUUUAAUCAUAUGAUCUGAUCAACAGACAGUCACACACAUAUACAAAAUGGGAAAGCAAUGUAGACAAGGGUGGAACUACCACCUGUGCAGCAGGUCCAAUGCAGGUCAUACAGUGUGUGGGUAGCAAUGAGAAUGAGGAGAUAUAUUUGGGAAGAAGGAAAUGGAAUGUGGACAUCUAUUUUGGGGAGGGAGAGGUUUAAUUGGAAAGAGGAUGUGCCAAUCUAAAUUUGGAAGGUGCUGAUUAGAUGGGAGGAAAAUGUGGCAAAUCUAAUUUGAGAAUACAGAGGGUUGAUAGGGAAGCAAAUGUGGUAAAAUCUAAUAUGGGCAGGGGUUAAUUGUCAUGGUUGUCAGGGAAAUGUGGCAGUCUACAUAGGGGAGGGUUGAACUGGCUUGGGAAUUUAGAGUAACACCCCCUAGCUUUUAAGGAGACAACAAGUCCUGUUACUUCCUGGUUUGGUUUGCUCAGUGCAACUAAACUCAAGAGGCAACAAUUGCUCAGAACACCUGCCUUGCAAAGACUGUAUUGAGAAGUCUGUAAUUGGACAGACACCCCACCCCUGGGUGGGGUUAGAAGAGUAGGGCUUGAAAAGGCUGCAGACAAGAGAACUGCAGUUUUUGCAAGCUGUUUUAGAUAUAACUCCAGUGAAAAAAAUGCAUAAUUAAAUGCAUGAAAGUUUUCAUUUGUGUGUAUCUACUAAAUAAUAUUUUUUAAAAUUUAUUUUGUAUUUGGGCAUUGUAGUGUCCCUUUAAUAUGUAGGUGAGCUAUUGCUUGGCUAUUAUUCUGAGAAUGUCUGUGGUCAUCUGAUAACGUCCUAUAGAAUCAUCAUCAGGGUGUGUUCCAAGGUGUGCAGUAUCACAAGAUGAUGUGGAAUGUGAGCCAGUGUCUUGAAUGGAAACUGUAAAGGAGCAUCUGCCAUCAAAACUACUACAAUCUAACCUGACAGUAGCAUGUGCAGCAAGCAGUAAAAAUAAUACUGAAAACAUUGACACCGCAGUCAUCAGGAUAGAGUUAUAGAGCUAUGAUAAAUCAAUAAUAUAAUAAUAACAACAAUUAAAUAAUAUGUAUUCAAUUAUAUGCAAAUUAAUAAAGAAAAGAUACAUAUCAUUAACUAUUCUAUUUAAAUCUAUUAAUGUGCUAUUUUAUAUAUUGUGACGAUGGUGUAAACACAAUUUUACUCCCCCCUUAAAUAUUUAUGAAUGUAUAGGCUCUUUUUUAUUAUGAUUCUUCCUAGACAUUUCUUUUUAGUAUUGCUAAUCUGAAGGUGUGAUAUAUGGUUGAUUGGCUCAAAGCUAUGUCAAUUACCUCUUUGGACACAGAUGUAACUAAUGCAAUUAGCACCAAAAUGCAUUUAUAGACUGGUUUGCCAUUGAUUCACUAAGGCUAUGGCUAAGCUUAUUUAGGUGUUAAAUGCACUGUGUGCUGACUUAAAACCCCCCUUUUCCUACAUUCACUAUACUAUGAAUUCACAAUUAAUCAUCUCAAAUAGAUUUAACAACUUUUGAGCACUGGGUAUUAAGCUAAUUGUGUGACUAAUGUUAAUUCGACAGUAGCAACCACAUAAAUAAAUUUUAAGAGUCCUGCCUUUAAGCUUACAAUUCAAACUGAGCAAGGUUCAGAUAAAUGUGAAGAACAAUGAUAAUACAGUGAAAAAAAAGAUUAUUAUGCUAUGGUAGAAGCACCUAGCAUGGAAUACUUUGUAUUAAGACAAAAGAUACAAGUGGUCAAAGCUUUACUAUGUCGGAACUUAUUAGUUGUAAAAUGGAAACUCUUGCAUUUAUGGUAAUACAUAGAAUCUAUGGCAGCAAUUGGAAAAAUAGAACCUCAAGAUACAUCAGGAAUCCUGUAUUUUCCAUGUAUUUUCCAAAGAGUUACUAACAAAACCUUGACUGAUCUUUAGUAUAGGGAAUAUAACUAGAUAUGCUACAGAUAUUUAAAAAAUUCUUACAGUUUUAAUGAGAACUUGUAUCUGUAUAAUGUCAGGGCAUCACAACAGCUUUAUAAAAAUUAAGUUAUUAUGAUAGUAGAAGGUCCCUGGUGCAUUCUUACCUUUUGGGGUUUAACCCAAAUGUUGGCUCUCUAGUGCUGUUCCUUGCUGUCCUAUCGACAUCCGCUUUCUUAAAUUCAUCCAGAGGAAGCACAGACAGCUACCAUAAAAAAGCAGAAAAGGUGAUUUGCGCACACAGAAAGAAAUAUUUUGGUUUACCUUACACUUAAUAUCUCUUUGGUAACCAACACACAGACAAGUCUUUGAACCUAUAUUAAAAUGAGUUAAAAAAACACACAUAGUGUAAUCUGUAUAUGUUAGAUUAUAUAUACGUAAAAAUAUUUCUUCAAAUUUACAAUUUUCAGAGCCCAUUAAAAGUUGGCUCGGUACUUAUGGCGCUUUUCAUCUCAUAAAGGAGAUAUGUGGUAGAAUUUCCAGAUGUCACCCUCAGGAACUCGGCACUGUUCCUGAGGGUGACUACUAGAAAUUCUACCAUAUAUCUCCUUGAUGAGAUGAAAAGCGCCAUAAGUACCGAGCCAACUUUUAAUGGGCUCUGAAAAUUGUAAAUUUGAAGAAAUAUUUUUACGUAUAUAUAAUCUCACAUAUACAGAUUACACUAUGUGUGUUUUUUUUAACUAAUUUUAAUAUAGGUUAAAAGACUUGUCUGUGUGUUGGUUACCAAAGAGAUAUCAAGUGUAAGGUAAACCAAAAUAUUUUAUUUCUGUGUAAGCAAAUCACCUUUUCUGCUUUUUUAUUUUAUCACAUUUUUAAAGUGUAAACGGUGACAUUAUACUUGGGUAAUUUUUAGCUGCACCAGAUUGCUUAUUGUAAUAAGCGCUACUUUGCCCUUUAUCUUUUUUUAUAUAUAUAGACACCUAUUAAGCAACAGCCCCCCUGACCCGUUUAGAAUGCUCAGCUGAUGCUCUAAACCAAUCAGUAACUCGCCAUUCAUAAAAAAAGGUAGACUGCGAUGGCAGGAGGAAUGACACUGGAAAACCAACUUUGGAUUUAAACCAGGUAAGUGCCAGGGACCUCCUGGCAUAAUAAAAACUUAAUUUAGAUGAAAUUGUUGCCAGUAAGGUUCCUUUAAAUACACUAUACACUUCAUAAAUAUUCUACAGUACUAUGACAAAAUGACCAAUAACAUAGAAGCAAUGUCAAACAUAAAGCACAAAAUAAUUGACUUUGAGGUGUCAAAUACCACAUUUGAUGGUGGGAAGCUCUAGGGCUUUGCAGAGUAGAAAUUAAACAGGUGUAUAUUGUAGAAUAUAUGUUACCAGGGCCAGAUUAACUCAGGGAUGAUUGAAGUUCCAGCUCGAGGCCCAUCCUGCCAUGAAAGGCCCACACUACUGGUUAACCUGUCAAUCUUACAGCUGUCUUUUCCUCCCAAUUGAGUUCUGGGUGAGCUGCAAACUACGGUUUGCUCUAUGAUGUUAUGAAGGAUGUCCUUGGAGUCUGCAGCCAAUAAGAAUGCAUGUUGAAUAAGGCUGCUAUGACCAUGCUGUUGGAGGCUGCAGGGAUGACAGGAAUACAGCUAACCCAUGGUAAGUUAGGAAAAUAACUAUUACAUAUUUACAUACUACUGAAAUGCCGCCCGCCACAAAAAAACCUUGCGCAUAUCCAUUAUGCUAUGUAGUGAGUGUAGUGAAUGCAGUAUCUGUGUAAAAGAUGCAGUUUGUGUAUUGGUGUAUUGUAUGCAGCGUGUAUAGUGAAUGCAUUUUGCGCGUGGGCAUAGUGGAUACAGAGUGUGUAUUUGUGUAGUGGGUGCAGUGUAGUGGGUCCAGUGGGUGUGUUUGUGUACUGGGUGCAGUGUAGUGCAUGCAAUGUGUGCUGUGGGGGGAGAAGUUUUUUUUAAUAUUUAUAUUUUUUUCCCCUUCCCUUCAGGACUUCUUUUGCAGCCGCUUAGUAGAUAACUCCCUAAUUCUCACUGUAAGUAAAAAUUACUUAGUAUUAGUAAAUUUUGCCCCUACUCGCUAUACCGCCAGUAGGGGCAUGUCUGUAAUUUCGGAACUUCGGGACCUCGGCAAUUCGGCACUUCGGCAAUUUGGACAUUCGGACGUACCCGAAUGUUCGAAUUGCCCGAAAUUCGUCCGAAUAUUCAGACCAAAACGAAUUGCACAUGUCUAGCUGCCAUGGCUACGCUCCACCCGGCACAUAAUGCAGGCCAGGAGCAUUGCCUGUGGCAACUCUCUUGUGGCUUGUGAGAGAAGAGGACCUAAUGCUGCAGGAGGUGCACGAUCACUCCUGGGACCCUUCUUUACACGACACACUAGCAAGAGCCUGAGACUACAUAUAUCAGUACUCGCUAUAUAUAUAUGCAAAUAGACAGCCAGGCCCUGCACGGCUGAUUUUUUAAAGUUACUUUGUCGCCCCUCUCAAAGUGCCUCCUGGAGCCAUGGCCCCACAUUGUCCUAUGGACAGGUUGGCCCUGAACGUAUACAAAAGCAUGCACACUUAUAGAAUGUUUCACAUUACAUACAUAUAUGUCACGAUAUAUAAUAUAAAGGGCUAUACACUAACCCAGGGCCGCCAUCAGGGCAUGACAAACAUAACGAUUUUCGCUAUAUAUAUGUGCACUGCGGGCAGUGGUGUAUCCUGGUUUUGUGCUGCCCUGAGCAGGACAAAACUCAGGCGCCCCCCUCCCCCCACGCCACCCCCACCCAACCCUUCCCCCCGCCCCACCUUCUAAAUACACACACACACAGUCAGACACACACACAAACACAGUCAGACACAAACACACACACACAGUCAGAGACACACACAGUCAGACACAAACACACACACAGUCAGACACAAACACAGUCAGACACACACACACACACACAGUCGACACACACACACACACGGUCAGACACAAACACACACACACACAUACACUCACAAACACGGUCAGACACACACACACACACACACAGUCAGACACACACACAGUCAGACACACACACAACACACACACACACACACUCACAAACACAGUCAGACACAAACACACAUACACAGUCAGACACACACAGUCAGACACAAACACACACACACAAACACACACACACAGUCAGACACAUACACAGACACAAACAGUCAGACACAAACACACACACAGUCACACACACACAGUCACACACAAACACACAGUCAGACACACAUAAACACAUUAACUUUUUUUAAUUUAAAUCCCCCCCCCAACCUCCUUACCUUUGGGAGUGCUGGGGGGGUCUCUCUCCCUGGUGGUCCGGUGGUCCAGUGGCUGCAGGUCGGGCGGGCGGCGCUGGCAGGCGGGCGGCCAGCGAGGGAGCACUUCCUAUGAGCUGACUGCUCAGCUCCCUCGCGCGCCGGCUGCAGAGUGAGGCUGGGAGCCGGAAGAUGACGUCAUCUUCCGGCUCCCAGCCUCACUCUGCGGUGCGCGAGGGAGCUGAGCAGUCAGCUCAUAUGAAGUGCUCCCUCGCUGGCCGCCUGCCUGCCAGCGCCGCCCGCUCGGGAUGUCAGUUAGCCGCGAGGCUAACUAGGCAUUUGCCCUGGGCAUUUGGGGGGCGGCGUUUUUUGCCGCCCCCUGAAAAAUGCCGCCCAAGGCAAAUGCCUUGUUUGCCUCGUGGCUAAUACGCCCCUGACUGCGGGGCCCCUACUACCUGUAAAUUGCAGAGGGGGGGCCCAGCAGCACACUCUGUCCUCCUUUCCAGCUCCUCUCUGUAACUUCACUGCGGCUGCCAGAGCGUUGCCACAGGUUACCAUGGCAACACUCCGCACAGCACACAGGCCGGUCUUGCGAGAGUUCAUCAGAGAGAAGCUGGAAAAGAAGACAGCAUGCUGCUGCCCGGCCUCCCUCUGCAAUGUACUGCGGCUGGCUCCCUCCACACUGCAUCCUUACAAGCAUACACUCUGCACUACACACACACUACAUUCACUAAACACUCUGCACUACACACACUCACACUACAUUCACUAGACACUUGCACUACACACACUACAUUCACUAAAAACUCUGCACUACACACAACUACAUUCACUAAACACUCUGCACUACACACACUCACACUACAUUCACUAAACACUCUGCCCUACACACACUCACACUAAAUUCACUAAACACUCUGCACUAUACACAUUACAUUCACUAAACACACUCUGCACCACACACACUACUUUCACUAAACACACUCUGCACUACACACACACACUACAUUCACUAAACACUCUGCACAAUACACACUAGAUUCACUAAACACUCUGCACUAUACACACUACAUUCACUAAACACACUCUGCACUACACACACACUACAUUCACUAAACACUUUGCACUACACACAUUCACACUACAUUCACUAAACACUCUGCCCUGCACACACUCACACUAAAUUCACUAAACACUCUGCACUAUACACACUACAUUCACUAAACACACUCUGCACUACACACACUCACACUACAUUCACUAAACACACUCUGCACUACACACACUACAUUCACUAAACACUCUGCACUAUACACACUACAUUCACUAAACACACUCUGCACUACACACACUACAUUCACUAAACACACUCUGCACUACACACACACUACGUUCACUAAACACACUCUGCACUACACACACACUACAUUCACUAAACACUCUGCACUAUACACACUACAUUCACUAAACACACUCUGCACUACACACACUACAUUCACUAAACACUAUGCACUAUACACACUAAAUUCACUAAACACACUCUGCACUACACACACUACAUUCACUAAACACACUCUGCACUACACACACACUACAUUCACUAAACACUCUGCACUACACACACUUACACUACAUUCACUAAACACUCUGCACUGCACACACACUACAUUCAUUAAACACGCUGCACUAUACACACUACAUUCACUAAACACACUCUGUACUACACACACUAUAUUCACUAAACACACUCUGCACUACACACACACUACAUUCACUAAACACACUCUGCACUACACACACACUACAUUCACUAAACACUAUGCACUACACACACACUACAUUCACUAAACUCUAUGCACUAUACACACUAAAUUCACUAAACACACUCUGCACUACACACACUACAUUCACUAAACAUGCUCUGCACUAAACACACUAUAUUCACUAAACACACUCUGCACUACACACACACUACAUUCACUAAACACUCUGCACUACACACACUCACACUACAUUCACUAAACAUCCUGCACUACACACACACUACAUUCACUAAACACGCUGCACUACACACACACUACAUUCACUAAACACGCUGCACUACACACACUACAUUCACUAAACACUUUGCACUACACACACUCACACUACAUUCACUAAACACUGCACUACACACACACUACAUUCACUAUACACUCGAUGCACUCACUACAAUUGCACUACUUUUACUAAACACACUCUGCACUACACACACUAUAUUCACUAUACACAUUUUGCUUUCACUACAAUCACACUACAUGUACUAAACACACUCCGCACUACACAAACACACACACUACAUUCACUUAACAUACUUUGCACUACACACACACACACUACAUUCACUAUACACACUUUGCUCUCACUACAAACACACUACAUUUACUAAACACACUUUGCACUCACUACAAACACGUUACAUUCACCAUACACAUGUUGCACUAACUACAAUCACACUACAUUUACUAAACACACUCUGCACUACACAAACACACACACUACAGUCACUUAACAUACUUUGCACUACACACACACUACAUUCACUAUACACACAUUGCUCUCAAUACAAACACACUACAUUUACUAAACACGCUUUGCACUCACUACAAACACACUACAUUCACUAUACACGCUCUGCAUUCACCACAAUCACACUGUAUUCACUAUACACAUUUUGGAUUCACCACAAUCACACUACAUUCACUAUACACAUUUUGCAUUCACUACAAUCACACUAGAGGCACUAUACACACUUUGCACUCACUACAAUCACUAUACACACUUUGCACUCGCUGCAAACACACUAGAUUCACUAUACACAUUUUGCAUUCACUACACUCACACUUUGCACUCACUACCAUCAUACUACAUUCACUAAACACACUACAUUCACUACAAGUACACUACACUCUGCAUUCACUAUACACACACCUACAUUCACUACACACACACUCUGCAUCUAAUGCAUGCAUGCAAACAUUACAUACACUACACAAAACGUACAAUCUGCAUCCACUAUACACACUGAAUCCAUGACACACAUACUGCAUCCACUAUACACACUGCAUCCAUGACACAUAUACUGCAUCCACUACACGCAUUCUACAUCCACUAUACACACUGCAUUCAUGAAACAUUCUACAUCCACUAUACACACACAUACACACUCUUCAUCCUUGUGGGUGGACUCAGGGCUGGCCCCGGGGGCCCAGAUCUUGAGCAGUGUCAGGGGCCCUAAAAUGUCCGAUGGCAGCCCUGCACUAACCAUCUAACUGUAACAAAUUGAAAUCCAAAUUGCAAAAUUGAGGCAAAAUUGAGGCACAAGCUGUGACUAAAACUGAUUUGGAGAACUUCUCCAAAUCAACUAUUGCUUUCUUAAUUUUGCCAAUUAAAUCUCAGCUCACUACAUUUCAUGGUAUAUUUAAUUUACCCUAUAUUGUAUAUAAGAGGAAGGGUGAAUAAACUUGGCUAGACUUUGGUUUGCAAAACAAUUUUGUUCUGCAGUUUUAUACCACUCUGAUCUAUCCAGUGUGAUUAUGUUAGUGGAAUUAUGGGUUUAUAUAUUCCCACAUAUAUAUAUAUAUAUAUAUAUAUAUAUAUAGGCAGUUGGUUGUAGUUUUAGAUAAUGUGCGCAACUUCCAGUUAAAUGAACAUACCUAGCACCCAGCGACGGAGCUAUGCUAAGGGGGCCCAUCAGGUGGCCCAUGCAACUAGGGCCACCUAAUGGCAAUGGAUCUUCAGGGAUCCGGUCAGCACUGCAACCCUUUAAUAGCAUGACCUCUGAUUUCCAAGAACCUGAGGCAGCCCACUGGAACCCAGGGAAGCCACCAUCUUGCACCCUAAAAGUAGAAGACGGGAGGGUGGCUUCAAAUUUGUAAAUUUUAUAUGCAUGUCUGUAUGUGUAUCAAUCUGUGUGCAUGGCUGUAUAUCUGUAUGUGUAUCUUUGUGUCUGUAUGUGUGCCUGUGUAUCUGCAUGUGUGUCUGAAUGUGUAUAUGUUUGUGUGUCUGCAUGUUUAUCUGGGUGUCUGUGUAUCUGUAUGUGUUAGUGUGUGUCCCUGUGCAUCUGUGUAUGUCUGUGUACCUGUAUGUGUGUCAGUGUUUGUAUCUGUAUGAGUGCCAUUCUGUGUAUCUGAAUGUGUAUCAUUCUGUGUAUCUGUGUGUCAUUAUAUCAGUCUGUGUAUAUGUAUGUGUGUCAGUGUGCCCCUGUGUGUCUGUGCAUCUGUAUGUGUGUCUGUGUUUUUAUCUGUAGGAGUGUCAUUGUGUGUGUCUGUCUGUCUAUGCAUCUGCAUGUUUCUUAUUGUGUAUGUAUCGGUAUGUGUGUUAUUGUGCAUGUAUCUGUGUGAUAUAUUGUGUGUAUCUGUGUGCCUGUGUAUCUGCAUGUGUGUCAGUGUGUGUGUGUCUAUUUAUCUGUAUGCGCACCUGUGUGUCUGUGUAUCUGUGCAUAUCCUUGUGUGUCUGUGCAUCUACAUGUUUGUACCUGUGUAUGUGUGUAUCUGUAUGUUUGUCAGUGCUUGCAUCUUUAUGUGUGUCAAUGUGUGUAUCUGUGUAUCUGCCUGUGUGUCUGUAUCUGGAUGUGUGUCAGUGUGUCUGUAUGUUCAUGUGUAUAUAUGUGUAUGAGUGUGUGGUUAUGCAUAUGUGCAUACAUAUCAGCAUUCAAAAGCCAACACUACACACAAAUACAACCCUGCAUUCAAAUGUCAACGCUACAUACAGACACCACUACAUUCAAAGGUAAACACUACACACAGGUAAACCACUGCUUUCAAAUGGCUACAGUACAUAAAAACACAAAACACAAGCUUUUACAUUCACACACACAUGCUUGCAUUCAAACACAGAAACACUGCUCAGUGCUAAAUACAAGGAUGGGCACAUGGUAGAUCCCCAGCUGGCAAAGUAUUGUGGAAGUUGUACGACAGAUAGCGAUCUACCUUUUGGUCAUCCUUACUAUAGAGGGGGACCAAAACAUUUUUUGCACCAGGGCCCUCUCUACUCUAGUUCCGCCACUGCUAGCACCAUAACCACUAGAGCUUGUUGCUUCCGCCUCUGCCAAGUUCUCUGUCUGAGCUAAGCCCUGCACUGCAUGGCUUAGCUGACUGGUUGACAGUGAUCAGUAGAUGCUCUCAGGUAAUGAGCUCACCCUGCACUACAUUACUUAAGUGGCUUGAUUACUUUGGAAUAUAGUUAUUGUUAAGAUAGAUAAUUUGGAUAACAGGAGAAAUAACUAAUAGUAAUUGAUUUCAGCAAUUUUAAGUUUCAUGAUAAAUAUCUAAUGUUGGACCUUGAUAUUCGUGAGUAGGACAUGUUUUGAUUCUUGUAUUCUGAAUAGGGCAGAUUGAGACUCUGAAGGUUUGAGUGGUUUCCUGAUGAUUGUCCAAGAGGAGGUGCUGUACUUUAAACUUUUAUUUUCCAAGAUGGUUAGAUGUAUUGCGCUUGCCUUGGUGAUGCCAGUGAUGAGAGAGGAUAUUCACCACUUAUUUUACAUUUAGUAAGAUACUUUAUAACAGUGUUCUGCAACGUCUUAGCACCUGCGGCCCGGCAAAAAGAGGAGAAUAGUUUUGCGGACCGGCGUCAGUCAGAAAUAAAAACCAAUGGUAUGUGUGAGGGAUGCAGUGUGUGUGUUAGGGGUGCUGUGUGUGUGAGGGAUGCAGUCCUGCGGUCCUGCAGAGCCGGCAGGGGAGAGGGAGGCACGGUUCCCGGUGCUAUGAUCAUAAGAUCAUAACAUCAUAGCACCGAGGAAAUAUUGUGGAGGAAAUAUUUUGCGGCAAUUUAUUGCCGGUCUGAGAAAGCUUUCACCCAAUGGCAUAGCCAGAUGAAAGCUUUCACAGACCGGCAAUACAUUCUUGCGGCCAGGCGCCGUUUCACUGACCAGUGGUUAUAGACCACUGCUUUAAAAGACAGAAUAUCAUACUGUGAUGAAGAGAUAUAUCCUGAUUUCAGCAUGGUCAGUGUUACGUUAUAUGACUCUUGUUAGCAAGACAUUAAAUAUAAUGGGGUCGUAUUGAUCCCAAAUUGAGUUUCAAAAUAGCAUCUAGUCACAUCCUUCUCAACACAAUAUAGAAACACGCUCAAUACUUAAUAAGAUCAAUACAAUGAUAUGAUAUACAUAGCAAAUAGAAACGGGCUACAACAAGACACAGAGCACAGAGCAUGAAACUGUAUGGGAUGGAACUACCACAGAAAUGUAACGCUAUGGGAAAUAGCUGGGUUAAGAAUACCUACUCAAACUAUAGACCAUCUCUGAUUACAUAUCUUUUGGUAUGAAACAGUAUGCAAGAGUACAGAAUCAAUACCUGAAGGCAGACCACAGAGAGAAAGUAAUCACUUUCUACAUUAGCAUGUGUGGUUAUCAGAAUCCCAGCUAUUAUAGAACUAAAUGUCUCAUAAUGCCUCCCCCAGCCUUUUGGCCUGGGAAAGAAAGAGAGAGGUGGGGGAGGGCUUCACAAAUAUUGGAGAUGAGAGAGAGAGACACAGGAAGGGAAGGGUUGGUUGAAUGAUGGAUUUACAAAUAGUGGAGAUGGGAGAGAAACACUAAAAGGGGGAGAUGGGAUAUGGUGGCACGUGUAGGGAUUGGUGAGGGAGGUAGACACUAUGGGAGAGAGGUGGGGGCUUACAAAAGUGGGGUUGAAGAUAAACACAAGUGGGACAAAAUAGGCAGAGGAGGGAGACACAAGUGGCAAAACAAGAUGGGGAUGACACAAUGGGUGUGUUAGGAUGGGACGAGCCUUAAGUAAGGGAGAUAUACAGGGUUGCAGGGAUGGGAGUGAGAUACAUGUCUGGAUGAAGUAAGUUGAAACAAGAAAGGAAAAUCAUACAUUCAGAUUCAUAAAUACAUAACCGCUCCAAACAAAAUCACACCAGUAUUCAUGCACAUACACACAACCUUGUUAGAUCCAUAUAUAUAGACACUCCACACAAAUCAGAGUCCAUAUGCCAAAAGAGUUAAUGAAACUUGGCCAAAUCUAGCUAUACACAGUACAAAUAUUAUAGACAGAUAUUGAGUAAACAUUGCACGCUAAAAUAUUUUACAAAUGUGACCUUAUAUAUAGUAUGAGAUUUGUCACAAUUUUAUUUUAGUUCUGUUUUAUGAGAAGUAUAGCAUUUUUUUUUUUUUAGUUUUGCACUGAUGUUUUCAUGUAUAGGAAGAAAUAUUAAAAUAAUUGCAUCUCAUGCAUUUCUUACACAAAUUAUCUAGGCAAGGCAGGGAAUGAAGCAAACCUUGCGCUCCAGCGGAUUAUAGAGUAAAGCAUAAUCACAAUUCUAAAUACCAUUCAGCUGGCUGGCUGUGAUGGGAGUUUACUAUUCAUAUUUUUUUUUUUUCACAAUUGUAGUCAUAAAAAAGGAAUAAGGUAGCAUUUUCCUUUACGGGCUUUAUGGAAUAAAUCUGCCAUCAUCCUUACUCUAAUGGCUGCCUAGAUGUGUUGGGAGUUAAAAUCAACUCAGGUAUAUUGUAAGGUUGUCAUUUUCCAUAAUUUAAACAUGACAACAUAUAUUUAAAUAGACUAAAUCAUCAGUAAAAAGAAACCCUAUUUAUUAAUUCCAAUUACCAGUCAAACCCUUUAAUACAAACCUCAAGGUGAUGAAGAAAUCACCUGCUGGGUAGACUUUUUUUUUUUUUUUUACAAAUGAUUGCUGGAAAAGGAAGGAAGACUCUGCAUGUUCCAUAUGAGAACUAAUAGUUAUAUGAGAGAAAUUAAUUGCAUUGCUAUUUGGUGUACCAUAUUCAGGAUUAGGUUUGAUGAUGUUCAUUACUGCAGAACAGGAGGAUUGUAUUAUAACUGUUGUGCUGACUAUAAAAAUGUGUAGCUGCUAACAUACAGUUAUAGAUGCAUCCUUUUUGCCUUGCUAAAUUAUUGUGUUCAAUGUAAAGUCAUAAACAUAAAAAAAAUGUAAAUAACAAAGAGAACAUGUAAGGUUUUUUUUACUAAGUGAUUGGCUUUGUGAAAUAUUUAUUGUCAUGGCAUUUACAUACUGUGUCAGAAGGGAAUAUUUCUAAUACUCAGUAGGAUUAUUAUUUAGUAAAGUAAAUCCAGUGGAAAUGUAUCUAGAACAGUUCUUGUUUUUAUUUUGUAUCUUAACAUAAAGAUGGGAAAAACAUUUCCCACUAACGCUAAAAGAUGUCAAACAGAACCAUGUUUUAGACAUCAAAGGGUGAUGUUGUGUAUUUUUUUUUUUAAUUAAAUGGCAUAAAUGUAAGUUUGUCACACAUCCAAAUGUUUUAGAUAAAGCACUUUGAAACAGAUAUACAUAGUUAAAAGAUCAGAAAACAUGUUAUUCCCCUUUUAAAAUAAACUGUAACUGUUUUUUCAUUUACCUGCUGACAUUUAUUAAAUUAUUUGUAUGUGUGUGUGUAAGUAUUUACAUAUAGUAUAUACGUUGUGCUUGCACUCCUUAAUAAAUCCAACUAUUGCCCGGUGCUGGUGGGGCAGCAAAGUACAAAAAUCCAAAGUAUGACCGCACUCCAAGGACUGAAUUGAAAAUUUUAAAUAUAACUUUUAAUUCAUAAUAUUCAAGAACAAAUCGACAUUUAAACUCCCACCUGGAGCUUUCAUGUCAUCCUGAUGAAAGCUCCAGGUGGGAGCUGAAACAUCGAUUUGUUCAUAUGUUGGAUUUAUAUAUAUAAAUCCAACAUAUGAACAAAUCGAUGUAUAUAUAUAUAUAUAUAUACACACACACACAGAUACUUUUAUAAAUGUCAAUAUAUAUAUAUAUAUAUACACACACACGCACAUAUAUACAUAUAUAUAUAUAUAUAUAUAUACCUAUAUAUACCUUUAUAUAUAUAUAUAAAACAAACCUAAAAUAAAAGGACUACAAAUGUUCACUAAAAUAAAGUAUUAAUGUAAACAAUCUUAGUUCAGUAUAUAAUAUCGGCAGGUGUAUAGAAUAAGUGUUCUAACUGUUCGGUCUCCAAACAAAAUAUACUAAUAACUAUAAAAGUAGUUUGUGAUGAAAUAAAUGAUAAUUAACAAGCUUGCACCCAUUAUAUUUAACACCUUAUUCCUCCUCUGAUAUGCAACAAUUUAUGUUUCUAAUGUAUCAUUAAGAGAAUAUGUGACAUUUAUUUAAGGAUAUUUAAAUAAAAAUAUGAACAAAUAUUAUACAUGAUAUUCCCUUUACUGCAGUUUUUUUUCAUAUAUUUAUUUAUUUAUUUAUUUAACAAUAAUCAUAUAUCUAUAUAUAUAUAUGUGUGUGUGUGUGUGUGUAAUUAUAUCACAAACACACAUAUAUAUUUAAAUAAUCACAUGUAGAUAUAAUAUAUAUAUAUAUAUAUAUGCAAUUUAAAUUAAUGUUUAAUUUAUUUCAUGAAACACAGCAACAUAAUUUUAUAUUUCUUGUAAAAUAAAGAGCAAUUUGAUAACAUUUUAAUUACAAUUUCAUAUGUUAAGAUAGAUUAUAAAUGUUUAGCAUGCACUUUAUCCCUUUCCCUUAUUUUUCUUUAUUUUAGUUUUCUUAUGUUAUUAUUAAUGUUAUUAUUGCUCGUUAAAAUGUUGAAAAAUGUCUUAAUAAAAACAAUUUGAAGAAAAUAUAGUUAAUUACUCUAAUAUUUAUCUUUAUUUUGUCCUAUAUCACUCGAUUCUUUUAUGAAGCAACAAUUUCAGCAGCAAAUAAAAAAAUGAAACAGGGUUUUAUUUCAUUAAAAUUACAACAAAAACUGCAUAGAAUACUACCAAAUUUCAAUAUUUUACUUAAAUAUCUUACUAACUCUGUUUCUAACAAAUAACUACUUAAUUUAAAAAUGUAACAAAUGUUUUUGAAAACAAUUCGUAAUUCUUGUCUUAGAGCUAAGGAAAAAUGAAAAAUUUAGUUUAUAGCAUAUAUAUUGAAAACCAAUUACAAGCAAUUUAAUUAAUUUAAAUCUAUUGAUUUAUGAUAGCUUGUGAUAUUCUAUAGCUGUGUAAAAAAUAAAGUUUUGUCUGUUUACAUAUAUGCAUGUUCAAAUAGCUAUACUAUCUAUACAUGUGCAGAUGUUAUAUAUAAAUAUAUGUAUCUUUGUAUAUAUGUUAAAGGAGAUAGCUUGCUCUCACUGUCUUUAAAGUUCCAUGCUUUAUUGAAGAAAUAUUAAAAUCUGGGUCUACAUAUAUUAUAGAUAUACAUCUAUCUAUUUAUCUAUCUAUCGUAACUCAUUUUAGGUAAAAUAAAUGUGUAUCCUACAAAUAGAAAUGAAGUAAUAUAAAAGUGACACAAUAUAAGACUUUCAAAUUUAAUUUAAAUGUAGUAAUUUAGUUAAUUUGUAACAUCAACUGCCAAGAAGGCAGUCAUAAGAUAAUCUAUAAUGUUUAAUUAGUGCAGUGUUUAGAAGGCUAGGUGAACUAACAUACAAUAGUUAUGUCAAACAACUAGAAAUUUAAUUUGGCAUGAAAUAUUCUAAUUUUAAUACAUUUUUAUUCAAAAAGAAAUAACACAUACAUUACUAAAACACUAUACAACUCAAUGAUUGUAUAGCAAUGAAAUAUAUAUUUGGACAUUCUAUCCCUAAAUAUCCACCAAUACUGAAAUGCUCUUAAUCUAAACUAUUAUAUUUGUCACUCAAGCAUUUAUUGUUUUUGUAAAUAUCUUUAUAAAGCAGUAAUAAAAAGAAAAACAAAUAUAAAAGUAGUAUUUAAAAGAAAAAUACUAAAAGCUGAACAAUAAUUUUUUUACCGAGCUGUGAUUAGAAUUUUCACAAAUUAGCUAUUGUUGCUUAAAUUUGCAAUUCAGCUUUCAAUUGGCCAUUAUAUUUAGUGAGUAAACCCCAAAGUCUUUAUACAUUUCCAGUUUGAGGCUUUUAAACUAUCAAUGUGAAAUUCAUUAAUUAACAAAUAUCGUUGAAGUUUUAAGUUGAAAAUACAAAAGAAAUGUUCAAUACAGUGACACCUAAAUACUAUUGUAUCAAGAUUCUAUCCUAUUUUCACCAGUUCAUUAACUGAUUACUCCAUCAAUACAUUAGUUUAAAGUAUGGACACCUUGUGAUAAAUUGAGCAGCGUAUGCUAAAUCGUGCAACUGGUAAACUAUACUCAUUAGAUUUGAUGCUUCCAAAGUUUUUACAGAAACAAUACCAAAAUGUUAAUCAAGAAGUUAGAUUCUGGUAUCUCUCAUGCAAAUAUAAUGAAAAUGUGUUUAUUCUGCUUAAGAAUCCUGUUAAAUAUUUAUUUUAUCCUUCUUCUAAUUGCAUCCCAAUACAAGCUACUAUGCAGCUAUGCAUUGAGUUUGCUGUAUUGUAUUUCAGUAAACAGGGCUUGAGAUUAUACCUUUCCUUAGAUUUACAAUAAAGUAAUAAAUGAAACAGACAGAGCAGUACACAUAUACAAAAUGUAUCUGACAGUUUUUCCAUUUUCAUAAGAAGAGCUUGUGUUUUUAAAUAUUUUAGUAAUCUUUUUAAAUUGCAGUCUUACAUUUGAUUUAUUUUUUUUUAACUAUAAAUCAGAUUUUUCUAAUAAUAGCUUGAUAAAGGGAGUAAAAAUAUAUUAGUGUAAUAUGACUAGGAACAUAGCAUAUGUAAUAAUCUACAGUUAACAAUAUUAAACAGUAGGGGACACGUGUUGUCUAUCUGUGUUCUGUCUAUCUGUAUUCUACUAUAGGUACACAUAGGUAUAUUCUUAAAUAUAAUAUAAAAGUUUAUAGUAUAUGGCUGAAAAAUAUUGCACUGUUGCACUGAUAAAUGGAAGUGAAAAAAAACCCUUUUUUUUUUCUGUAUAUCUACAAGCAAGUGACUGUAGGUCAAUGUUGACUGUAGGUCAAGGGUACCAUGUAACAUUUACAGUUUGAGAAUUUUAAACUAUCAAUGUGAAAUUCAUUAAUUAACAAAUAUCGUUGAAGUUUUAAGUUGAAAAUACUAAUGAGUUCUGAUCAUAGUUAUAUGUGUCCAGUUAAACCAAAUAUCUUUUUUUCAAUGUUAUUUUUUACAAAAAGACUGUUAAUUCUCUCUCACUCUCUCUCUCUCUAUAUAUAUAUAUAUAUAUAUAUAUAGAGAGAGAGAGAUUGGCACAUUUCAUAAUUAUUUGUAUCAUUCUACCAGAAUAAUUGCCAUAAAAUAUCCAUUAAUUACAAAUUAUUUAUUUUUACUGCUCUAACAUUUAACAAAUUACCAUUUGGAACCAAAACUAAUAUAUACUGUUUUGAUCACAUGCUAUUUUAAUAUCAUUGAUGCCCCUGUCACUGAUUGUGUUGUGUAGUGGAUUGUUGCUACUGCAUAAGAAUUUUAAUAUUUAUUAUAAACCUUUAUGUUUUGCAGCAAUAUGUUCACCAUAAAAAUAAACGAGAAAGAAUUGUAAAGAUGAAGAAUAAGCAAUCUAAUACAUGACUAUAUCUAACAAUAAAAUGGUCCUUCAUAAAGUAAAAAGAACUGCAUAGACGUGUAUAUUAACACAGGUAAGAAAGGGUUAACAAUUAGUAGUAGUCCUGAGCUCUAACCUUAGCGAACGGUCAUUGUUCAGUUCUUUAAUCCCUCAAACUUUGCCUUCUUGGUCUGGCAGUUUUUUAAGGAGAACUUGUAAGGCUUUGAUCUCAAGGGCAAGUUUAAUUAGACAUAGUUUAUGUCUUGCACCCUUGUAUGAGAUCUACGUGUUGGUAUAUAAAAGUACAGAUUUAAAAAAAAAAAAUCUGAAAUGUGGGAGAUACAGUUGAGCAUUACACAUAUAUUUAAAAUUUUACAUCACUAAUUAAAAAUUAACAGACACUAACAAUGUACACUAUAAGGUGAAAUAUUACAUAGGUGAGAUGAUUUUAAAUCAUCUUGCAUGGGAUCUAUCACAAACCUUCAUUAAUAUGAAAUUCGAUUUCAUAUUAGAAAGAUAGCUGUUCUGUUCUUGGACUACAACUCUCAAACCUCUCAGCCAUUCCCUUUCAAAAGCUGACCAUGAAUUAUUGGAGGUAUGAGUGUUUGGGGGCCACAUUUGGACAGCCUUAAAGUAAAUGUGGCUGUUGCUGUAUUUAUGGUGCAGGUUAACAUAUCCUAUUGUCUAGUCUGGUGAUAAAUACAAUUUAUUCCUAUAUGUGCGAAAACCAUUUCAUUAGAAUAACGUGAGUUCCAAAUUUCUGCAGGUGGAAUGUGUAUACAGUGUAGUUUGUUAAUAACCGAGUGUGAAAUAUGACUAUUUUAGAACAUAUUCACAAUCCCAGAUGCUAGAUAUAUGCUUUAAAUAAGAAAACAAAAUCUAAAUUUACAGAGAUAAACCACCAAUAGUUAUUAUAGAAAAAAGCAUAUUUGAUAGGUCCGCAAUAUUAAAACUUUUAAUUAUUUUACCUCUAGAGUUUUCAACCUGAACUGACCCAAUGCAAUUUACAUGGUCAACUUUUUAUUAUAAUAUUAAUAAUUUGCACAUAUUGUAACAAUGUACCAUCUAUUCUUUCAAUGCAAAACCCUUAUAUAAAAAUACAUUUGCUAUAGGUGCUGAAUCUACUAAAUCAAUUUGCAUACUUGUUCUUAUACUUCAGGGGGUAUAUUCAGAACAUUCUAUGUAUAAGAUGGUCUAUAGGUAUACAUUUUUUGAUAUCAUAUAUUACCCUUUCUGACAUCUUUGAGGCCAGUGUUGGCUGAAAUUGGUACUGCAGGCAUUUGUAGACUAAGUUGCCCAUGAUGCUCAGCUGUCCUGAAGUGUAGGUACUCCAUGAACAUUUAUCAUGUCAAGGCUAGCCAUUGCUGCUCCUCACAGCAACAGGCUGUCUGGGCUACUAAGUAAAUUUUGAACUGUAGCAAAUUCAUAUCUGAAUUGUAAAAUAAGGACUAAAAUAGCCAAACGUUUUCUAAAGUUAAGUUGGAGAAUUUCGGAAGCUCAACUAUGUUUGCCUAAAAGUUGCCAUUCAGAUUUCAAUUCACUACAAUUCUUAGUUUAAGCAACAACUCUGUGUAUACACGAGAUAAGAGAUGCAACUUUCCCGGUCAUUAAGUAAAUUAAAACUUGAGGUGAUCAUUUCUGUCAAACAACUGCUCAUAUAUGUGUUCUAUGUUAUUUUCAUUAUGGCUAGCACAUCAUUACUUGGUAAUUACUUUUUUUUUUCUAUCUUCCUUUCAGUUCUUGCACUAUCCUGAAAGCUGUAUAUGCACUUUAUCAAUCUAAUACUUUCUCUUAAGAUUGCUCUGCCCCUGAUAUGGUGCCAGGUGGUGAAGCUGAAAGGAGAUAUACUCACCUGAAGCAUUAACUCGCAGGUAUAUUCUUCAUCAGCUCCUUGCAUUCGUCACAGCUGUAAUCCUGCACAUGCGCAAGAUUUUAAGACCAAGGUCUAUGGAGGAUGCCACAAGACUGUGGUAUUAUCCAUAACAGUGGUAUUACAGGCAUGCUAUGAUGCUCAUUUUCCCACAGCUGAAAACAAGUUGGCAAUGGAACCACUGCCCUUAAUCAGGUUUUGUUCAACCCUCAAUUUGCCAUAAAACACAAUAGUCUCUACGAUAUCUUUAUAAUAUCCUUUGAUUUGGUUUGAAUUUCAUUGAAGCUCCAAUGUUCCAAUGCAGUCAAUAUGAGCAUUCCAUAAAGAUUUUCUCUUUAUAAAAUACUCAAAAGUGAUAUUUCCACGACAGAAUCACUAUAAGAUCUAAAAAUAACAUUUUGUUGCUAGACAUAAAAAAAAGAAUCAAAAGGGAGAUGAGACCUAGAUCUUUGUGAUCUAACAUAUAGUUAGAUAGGUGCUUUGAUUGGCAGGGAAGACAGUUUAACGCUUUGUGCGCCAGUGGUAUGCAGAACAUAAUGCUAUGCACAGCAUUCCUGUAAUAAUUCCAUUGCAGAGAAUUCAUAUUAAAUUCUAAAUAACUCUUUGCUAUUAAAAAUGCUACAAAGAUACCAAAUGUGCACAAAUCAUAUGAUUGUCUUCUAAAAGCUUUAACAUUGCAGGCUACUUACUGUUAUCUCUAAAAAAAAGUGUUUAAAACUUUAAUCUGUAUGUGAGCAUAUCAUAUUCCUUAAAAAAGCAGUAAUUUUGUGAUUUGGUCUAUUAUUUUGUACAUUGAUGGUCUUCUAUGAUAACCCAGUGUUUUUUUUUUUUUGUAGGAAAUCCAUGUUAACGUUUUUGUAACAGAUUUCUCAAUAAUUAAUUAAUCUCACUUGCUUUUUUCAUGGCAAUUAAAAGGUUACAAUAAAAAAGAUGCAGUAUAAAAUGGUCAUAAUAAUAAAUCAAUUUUAGUAUUUGGAGCAUUUUUUUUCUGUAUGGAAUGACUCCUAUGAUGACCCAGUGAUUUGUCAAAUUUACAUCAGAUUCUGAUGAUAAACAUUUUUACACUACUAUGUUUUAUAUAAGUAAAAAAAGUGAUCAACAGUUUAUGGGGCAGAUUGAACAAUAAUGAAUGAGCCUUACUUGAUUUUUCUCUGGCAAUGUAAGGGUUAAAAAGACAGAAAAGGAGAUGGGGAAAAAAAAAGCAGUGCUGUUUUCAUUCUUUUCAGGGUAAUGUGUACCAAGCCCCCCCAAGGUUGAAACUGGUUAGAUCCUGAAGAAGCAGAAUCUGACCAAGUUAAAGUAAAGACACAGAGACACAUACUGUUUAGCUUCUUUGUCCUAUAAUUUUGUAUGAGAAGGAAGGGCAGAUUUGGAAAGAACAAGCUUGGGGUCUGUCGAACUGAUUGAUGAAUUUGCAGAGGCGUGCAUCCCCAGCCCCUGUAUGACAGUAGCAGGAUGCGCACACCAUCCCUCUGCUUCUCCCUCAGUUUAGAAAUGGAAGGUUUGAGAAUUUAGAAUGUGUGAGUUAAGGCUUCAUUCUGUCAUUGCUGGCAAAUCUCCUAUUAUAGCCACCAAAGUAAAACUCAGAUUGCCUCCCCACCCUCUUGCUGUAGAAGCCAAAACGCUCACAAAACAACACGUGAUGCAAUCGAAUAUUUAAGAAGGACUAUAACAACAUGGUAGCAGGAGGUACAGGCAAUUUCAAAGAUCAAUAGAAGCUAUUAUAUUACAGAUUAUAUUUCAUAAAUGUACUAUUAAACUUUGUUUGUUAGUGAUAUCUGUCUACAGUACUGACAGGUAUAAUAAUAAAAACAAAAAGCAGAAAUUUUUUGGGGGGGAUACAUUAUGGUAAGAUUUUAUAGUUGACAUUGUGCACUCAGGUUUUAUAAUAUGUGUCUUGUUCAUUAAAUCCAGUUGAUAACUAUCCUACACUCUUUAUUCCAACAAAGAGAUAAGUGACAAUUCUAGGGAGCUUUGAUUGUAAAAUUUUACCAUUCAUCUUGUAAAGCUGACUGUAAGCAAAAAAUUAAGUAUUAUUGUUUAAAAUUAGACAUACAUAGAAUACAACCUCGGUGUGUAUUAUUUUGGAUUGCAUAUAUAUAAGUAAAUACAUCUUAUCAGUGCAAAUCCUAACUCUUAACUUGCAUUGUGAGGGCAGCCAUCUUUAAGUAAUGUUUGGGCAGAUGCAGGGCUUAUCCGAUUAAAUAUUGCGCAGGUAAUCAAGAGCUAAUGUAUGUUCAUGAAUCCUGGCGUGUGCAAGCACCGGACAUCUCACAAAUGCAUCCCUGGCUGAUUUCAGAUCACCAAAUUGUGCAUAGUCUUACCACACAAGUGGUACUUCCAACCACAGAGGGAUAUCAAUGGCUGCCCCAGUAUCAGUGAAAUACAAUGUAAAACAGUUAGUAACAGUAAUAUAUUGAUAACAAAAUAAUGCUCUACAAGGCUUUAUUGAUCUUUGAAAUAACAGAUGACUCAAAAGAUAGGAACCCACAUCACAUUCAUACAAUAUUAUGAGUCAACUGAGACUUGUGACCAAUAGAGGAUUUUAGUUAACCACCAUAAUUUUUUUUGUACAUUCAAUCCAUUGUUUUUAGGUUCAUUCAUAUAGUUCAUAUAGUAAUAAAACAUUGCAGACAGCGGGCCUGUUCACCAAACUGAUUUUGGGAACAAAAAAAAAAAGAUUGGUUUAAAAUGUUGAUGAUCAGGGUAACCUUGGAAGGCAGACUUUCAGCAAAUAACUUAUAACGAGCAAGCACUUAAUAAAUACACAAUUUAAUAAAUGAUCAAAGAGUAAGAGGAAGGAGAAUUACUAUGUACACUUAUAGUGGCGCUCAGUAUUUGUUUUCCCUAAUUCUCACACCUUAGUGGGUUAUGAGUUCAUUAUAAGGAGUAGUUGGACUUGUGUCUCCCCCAUGCCUUGCCCAAUGUUAUGACCUGUGUUAUGGGAGUAAAUUACAUGAGUUAAUUAAAUAUAUGAGUUCCUUAUCUACAGGUUCAUCAACAGUAAAUUUCUUCUAUUUGAGUUUGGGCUUCUCAUCGAUGUUUAAGUGGGGAAGAUCUGUGAGAUAUCUCCUAUCAUGUCCCUCCAUAAGUGUUUGUUUGGGAGUGAGUACUUGGAGCUAUGUAGAGACAAAUGGUGUGAAACUGCAAAAUCCUUUGUGGGAUUUUCACUUAUCUGGCUUAUAAAUGUGUAUGGUCUACCAAACAUCAUGAUUCUCCAAUACACAGAGCCAUGCUGCAAAAACUAAUAGUGCCAAUCCAAGCCUUCUAUCAUGGUGUUGAAUAUGAGCCUUUAUUGAACUUGUAAUAGACCUUGUCUCUCAACAUACAGUACCAUGAGUCUCCAACAUCAUUAAUAGCGUAUAUACCAUGUUCUUCAAGAUACAGUAACAAUGAUGAGCCAAAAAUAUAAAUGAUGGUUGUUUAUCACACAGAAUCGGGUAAUUAGAACAUUUUUGCAGGGUUGGGCACUCUAUAUUGGGGAGAAAGCUAGUAUGGCCAAUAUAAGGGGAAGAUGUACAUUUUUAUGGGCCCAGGGCAUUAAGAACUUCUUAAAAGAGAGGAUCCCAGCAGACACGAGAGAAGCCAAAGGAUCCAUGCUCCAUGUUUUUAAUCACUCAGCCUUUUGCUCAUAAAUUGAGCGUAUAGACGAACCUAGGGUUCCCUCCUGUUUAACAGUGUGAGUGGAGGACUCCUAUAUAUUUUAAUACCAGAAAAUGGAGUAAGAUACCAGGAAAUUGAGUUAGAAGUGGACUUCGUAAAUAGGGUCCCACCUCAUUUUCUGUACAUAACACACCAAAGGCAGUAUGGGAAUAGGGGGUAAACAAUGAAGUGGCUUCUGUCUGUCUAAUAAACAGUUGGUUCUUGAACCCAAUAUAUAUUUGUCUUUGUCUUCCUACCAUUAAAUAUUGCAUAGAAGAUUGGAAGUUAAUUUCCAAGCUGCUUUUCAUAAUUUUAGUAUGGAUUACAGUAACAAUAGCCCAUUUGUGUUUGUUUAUUUAUUUGUUUGUUUAUUUAUUUAUGCCCGAUGGCUGAGAAAUGUACAUUAUUAUAGGGAUGUUCAGAUUGGGAUAAUAAAUGCAACCUUAUAUACCCAACUUGAGCGACUGACUGAAUUAGUUUCAGAAAAUGAUUAGAAACUAGUUCAUUUUAAAAAGCCACCUUGCUGUAGUACUACUAAUAACCUAGUCAAUGUUUGUCAAAUAAAAUAGGUGAGCAGCCAACCGGCAACUUGUCUCCAAGAUACCAAUUUCCCACAAUCUUAUAGAUCUAUUUUAUUUACUAAACAGCUUUUAUUUUGAUCAAGGAUCCAAACUUUGAAUUGCAAUGUUUCUUGAUAUUUGCAACCACUUGAAAUUUUAUAUUAAUGCAUACAGCAUUUUUUUUUAUCCUUCUUAGCUGUUAUGUAAUAUUGUAUAUAACAUAUGCACUUAAUAAAUAACUGCCUAGCCAAAUAAGUUGCCUACUUACUUUGGUAAACGAACAAUGUGAAGGAGAUCUCUUUAUCAAUCAAGGUGUUGUGAUGAGUUAUUAUAUUUAGCAAUUAUAAAGCGCUAACUUAUUCCACAGUGCCUUGCAAUAUUUUAAAAAGGGGGAAAUUUAACAAUAAAUGAGGCAAUUACAAAAUGUUACAGGAACAAUAGGUUGAUGAAGACCCUGCUCAAAUGAGCUUACAGUCUAGAGGUGACAAUAAUGUUCCAUAUUUCGAAUAAAAAAAGCAAGUUUUGAUAAAAAAGUGGGUUUUUUUCCUUCAGUUUUAUAAAUUUUUUUGCUAAAUUUUUCGAGCUUGAUUUCACCACAUACCAAUGAAAUUUUAACAAAUAAACUCAUACGUGCAUAAAUACACAACAUAUAGGUAAACAUUUUUUUUCUAUUUUUAUUUGCUUACUUGUAAGUUGUUUAAACCAGAGUUAGUAUAUUAAAGGCAGAUGAAGAAACCUUUGUUUUUUGCAAUAAGGAAAACACAAGCCAUAUUUGUGCAAGUAGACAUUUUGGAGAGCACUAUGCAGUAUUAUGCUCUCCUAAUUCACAGCCCUAAAAGUGAUAGCAAAUAUGCAUCAAAACAUUCUGCAGUGUAAUAUAUAAAAGCACAGCAGGAUUAUGUGCUUUCAAAAAAGAGACAUGGUGAUUGGUUAGAGGCUGGCUUGAUUGACAAGAGCUUAGUUUAGAGGAAAGGAGACACGCAAACCUUCACAGCUUGAUUUCUUUUCUAGAAUAUAUCACACUAUCCUUUGAAAAGUGCCGCACGAUCCAAGAAAAUAACGUUUCACGGCCUGAUUUAUGGUUUUUUGACAUUCCUUAAAUUACAACCAAAAUUAAAUAGAAACUAAGUAAAAGAAAUAAAAUAAUUUGUUAAAAGUAUACUAAUUACAAAUAUCGACCAACCACUCCUUUCAAAAUAUAGCAAAAAAACAUCAAUUUAAAAUGUUAAAAUGCAAUAACGUAAAAUGAAUUAAAAAAACAAACAAACAGUUAAUAUCUGUGCAAAAGCAAAAUAUCUGUGCAUGAUCUCCACAUAUUGCUGAAAGACAUCAGAUUGAAACUUUUGAAGCUAUUUAAGAACAAUAAUGUUUAAUGUUGAAUAAUCUAGAAUGUAAUGUUUGUUUGUUUUUUGACAAACUACAUUAUACUUACUUUGAAAGUGGAAGAGAGCAGGGUGGCUUUAAUUAUUAAGUUUUGUACCAGCGCUAUAUUUCAUUAUAUGUGUCAAAAACAUGUGCAGGUUUUUUUUCCGCUAUGAAAGAAAAUAUGAUUUAAAGACACGUCAAAAUAUACCAUCUCUCUUUAAAAUAAAAUUAAUAAUCAUGUAUCACAUGACAGACAAUUUUUGUAGUUUAUCUCCAGGUUCUAGAUAUCACUGCUUUGAGUCAGGUAAGAAGAAUCUACAUUUUUACAAAACUAAUGCUGGCUGAUUUCUAGACAAUGCAUUUUAAUUUUUAUGGAGCAUCACAUGCUUACAAUAUUUAUUCUACUGUUACUAUGUUCAUAUACACACACACACACACACACGCAAACACACAGAGAAAAAAUUCACGAUCAAGUGCCACAUGGACCAACAAGCAUAGAAAUCUGAGAUGUGCUAUCUUGUUUUCCAAUAUGUCUCGCUAUCUCUUUAAAGGGGUCAACAGGUCAAGGCGAAGGUCACAGUGUCUUAGGUGUUGAAAGAAAAUAGGUUUUAUGAUCUGGGCUACAUUUAAACAACUAAUAAUAGAACUAACAGGAUUAAAGCCAGACAAAUACUAAUUGACCACUGUUGUCAUUGUGACCUGUAACUAAUUAAAAGCUUUUUUAGUUUUAUAUUUGUUUAGUAAAGGUUGUUUAUUAACUUGAGCCAAAAGGUGCAAAAUAGAUAAAAGUAAAACUUGGUUUUCUCUUGAAAGCCAUAACAAGAUGUUCUACUUUUUUAAUAUUUUUUUUACUUAAUACCUUUAAUGCCAUGUACAGGAACAUUUGGUGAUGGCUUUUUUAAGAUGUCAAAUAUUUUUUGGGAGGGAGGAAUUUUUUUACAAAAAUCAUGAGAUUUUCAGUUUACAUUGAUACAAAACUAAUGUUAAUUAUUUGAAAAUGUUUCGAAAAAAACAAGAAAAUAAUAUAUAGUCAACCUCAGUAUUUAGCUGCAACCUGUUCAUAUACACACAUACAGUCCUGAUAUGUAAUUGGCAAUUAAUGGGUUAAAGUCAGUCAAUUACUUAACAUAAAACCAUUAAGAAUCAAGGUACAGACAUUAGAAAAUAUCAGCAAAUUACAGAUUUUUGGGGGUAAAUAUUUUAUCAUUAUCCCAAGAAAUUCCACCACUCGUAAAAUGUGGUUUGUUUUUUUAUAAAGAUAAGAAAAGGAAAAUAUUGAUGUUUUCCAUUGAUUAUUAGAUAUGUUUUGCUCUUGUAUUAAUAUCCAUUUCUAUCCUAUACACAAUUAUAACUAUAAAUUUACAAGUUGUUUAGCGCUGUAACCAUGCUUCAAAAACUUUUAUAACCCCUUCGGUUUCUAUAGAUGACAACAAUGCAUUUACGAUAUAAAAAUAUCAUUAUAGGGAAGGUGCUUCCCUGUGGAUACAUGCCGUUGUCUGCUUCCUGUUAUGUAUGUAUCUAUCUAUCAAUAGAUAGAUAGAUAGAUAGAUAGAUAGAAUAUGCUAAAUUUAUCCAUAUCAUCUGCAAUAUUUAAAUGCAACUAUGGCAAAUGAAUAGUUUUAUAGUAUAUUUAGGUGUUUUGGCUAAACUGCUUCAUUGUUACUCAAACAUAGCUCAUCUGGCAAUCAAUUCACUUUGUUCAUCUAAAUUCCUAACUACUGAAGUUCAUAACUUGUUCUUUAACAUUAUGAAACUUAAAAAAAAUAAUAUUAUAUGCAAAUAUGAGGGAAAUUCAUUUUUCUGUACAUAACGGUUUUUGCAGGAUGCAUAUUUGGGUUUUCUUUUCCUAUUGGCAUAUAGUCUAAGAGCAUUACAUUUUUCCAUUUUUGGGAUAAAAAAUUUUGAAACAAAAAAAUAAUAGAGUAUUUUGGUAUAUUGUUAUAGCUGAGACUUGAGAAUAAAGAUUAACUCUAAAUAUUUGGUCGUUCCAAAAUAUGAAAACUGCAGCCAACAGUAGUGAUUCGUGAAAAUGAAUUUUUAAUAACAAAUUAAAAUUUCUCUUUUGUCAACUACUUCUUAAUAUUGUUUGCUAUCAGGGUGUGCAGUAUAGAGUAGAAUUUUACAUUCCUCAGUUACUCAGCCUUGUGACAUUGUAAGACUUAAUGGUAAAAAAGUUUGAUGUGCAGAAGUAUAUAUUAAUAGGUGCAUGGCUUCCUAAAAUUGGAGAAGUUUUUAGCCGACAAUGAACCUAUGAAAUCUUUACACCCAUGAAAGAGCAGUAAAGAUUUCACUAGCACAAAAGCCUUGAUUCUGGCACAAGUCUUGUACUUCUCUAGAUGGAAAUACUUAGCCUAUUUUCCUGGGGGAAUUCAACCUUUCAUGCGCACAAUCAGACGGCUUACCACAUGGUCCAAAGGAGACCUCAAUUGCUCAUGGGACCCAAGAAAUUGCCCAUGUAUAAGACUAUAAUUUUCAACCAGAAACCAUUCAUAUGGCGUAGAUAAUAUGAAGUAUAACACCUAAAAAAAUAUGAUUUAACCUGACAUAUUUGGGUUUGAACAUGACUAUGUUUAAGAAACACACCAGUGUUAAUAGUCUGGUAACCAGACCAGAACCUUUGAAAUACGCCAAAAAACAAACAUAUUUUGAUUACAAUGAAUGAGCUCAAUUAAGCCUUAUGAUAAACCAUCUUAUAUGCUUUAGUUGGAGGAAUAACUUGCCAUCUGGGAUCUUCAGCAUCAAUGGAGAAGUAUUUAACAAAAUUCAGAUAAUUUUCUCUGACGCUUGAGUAAUUUCUGAGCAAUAGACAUUAUGCACAUCAAAUAAACCAAGACAAGGCUCUUAACAAGUCUCCUUAUAUAGCAAAAAGCACAUUCUGAAGUGUUUAUUUGCAUUAAUGUUAGCAACAAAUGGAUGCUCUUGAUAAAAUGUAAACAGCAGCAAGCAAACCCCAUUGUCUCUGAUUUUCUGCUAUCUAACAGUUUAGGAACUGGUUGUGAAUCUAGACUCUAAUCAAUUAUCAUAAAGUUCAGAUAGUUUACAUAUACGUUAACCUUAACUGGAUUAUUUUAUGCAUACACUAGCAUGACAAUGCUAUUUUGCAUUUUUUUGCAACCUGUGUAAUAAUGGUGCAAAACUUUCGCUAAAAUAUUUUAUUAUUGCUAUUUUUUCUAACUGAAAUAAAAAAAGUGCUAAGUAGGUCAAGAUAAAUGCUAAAAACAUAAACUCAUCUAUUUUUUUUAUAAUAUACUUUUUAAUAUACUUAAUCAUUUAUUGAUUUUGUAGUUUCGGAUGUGACAUUAUAGAGCAAACUGGAACCUUAAUAUUUACUAUGGAGUUCAUUAAAAAAAAAACACAAAAGGUGAACAAAAUCCAUGUACACAGUGCAACAUUCAUGAAAUGAAAAACAAAUUUAGAAGAGACCAGUGAAUUUAUGUAAACUUAACUACAUAAACUUAAAUACAUAAAUGCUAGUUCAACAUUAUUUCAGAUAACAUAAUAGUAUAUAUUUUUUGUACGUAUGUGUGUGCUUUAUAUAGAUAAUCUAGUCACUCCCAGUCAGGUGAUUACCUAAUGCAAUUUAUAUAAUCUUUAUCACAUAUUUAUGAACAUUUUAUAUUGCAUUUAAUAUUAAUAUACCUAUUGUAGUAAUCCUUUGUAAAUUCUUCUAGGGUUAAUAAAUGGUAGCACAACAGACUUAUUAAGCAAAAUAAAGCCUUAACAAAAUAUAACUAGACAUUAAAUUCGAUUUUUGCAAUUUUAAAAAAUAGUUUAACUUAGAAAUACCCGACAAAACGUAGAAUACGUUUUCUGUUACACUUUUCAAUUUCUACCAGUAGCAAUGGUCUUUUUCUGUCUAAAGCAAAUAGAACCGCCAUUUUCGGAGUUUCUCUAUACACAGUAUCUACAAACACAGAUAACUACAUAUAGUUACAGUUACAGUCUACAUCUAUACAUAGGCUCAGUCUCUCUGUGUUUUAUUUUGCAUAUCUUUAAGCAAGUUAUAUAUCUUUAUCUCCAACGUUCACUGUCUGCCUAUUUACCUGAUAUAUGGAGACUGAAUUAUUACAUUUCUUAUGUUAAUUAAUUUGAAGGAAUCACAUAGAUUGACUUAAUUUGUCACUAGAUUCCUUUGUUGACAGUGUGAAUGAUGAUAUCAGUUUACUUACAAUGGAUCUUUAGUAAUAGCACUCAUUAAUUAAACCAAAUAAAGUAACGGACUAUCUGUAAAUUGACUAGCAAGGACCGUGAGACAGAGAACGCAAAUAAAGGCUGUGGGUACUUGGUGCGUAAGUAAGUGCCAACACUUGCUAGUGUAGGUAUACAGAGAUGGGAGGCACAGCUCUGAUAUCUUCAAGUGGUUUGGUGCUUGUGGUUUCCCCUCAGGGCGUAGUCACGCUGAAAGGGUCAAUAAACUGUGUGUCCCCCGCAAAGGAAAGAGCACAAUAAACCCACCAUCUAGGUCAAAGGUCACUUCGUCACUGAUUGAGAUAUUCUCAACUUUCUUUUACUCUUCAGAUAAAUUUACCACACACAAGAAUCGUCUAAACAAGAAAGGAGAAGCUUUUGAGCUUGCUGUUUACAAGCGGCAGUCAAUGUGGAAGCUAUAUCAAUAUAUCAAUCCCUGUAUAAUAAUAAACAGGCCCUGUAGAUGUUUAAUGUAUGGUAUAUAUUUAUAUAUAUGCUUUAAAGAGAGAACGAGAGACACACGGGCGCAUAGACAUGUUGGAAAAAGAAAAGACACAACAUUUAGAACUGCUUUUCGCAAAUCAUUUUUUUUUUUUUUAGCUAACUUUGACAUGCCAGUCAUAUCACUAAUAUUUCACAUUUGAAUGAUAGGGCAAUUUUUAUAAAAACUAAUAGUGACUCAGUCUGUGACUCUGGGAUGUCUGGCUGGAACACAAAGCACAUUAGGUGGAUUUAAACUGUUUAGCACGUAGUAACAUAAGCCUUUAAUAUUUAAGCUAAUAUGACAAUGACAGCAACUCUACAACUCAGUAUUGCGGUAACUACCUCAUUGCUCUUGUGCAGGAUGUUCAUGAUAUGGGAGGGACUAUCAUUUUAGUCAUAAUGCCUUUCUUAUUUAAUACCGUGUUUUAAUCAUUCAAAAGCUAUGAUAGAUUUGCGCUAUGUGAAUGUUCUAAAACAGGGUUUUCUAACCUUGACAUUGUUGGAACUUCACUCCCAUGAUGCUCAGCCAGGCUCGAGUUGCUUUAGAAUGACUAAGCAUCAAGGGAUAUGUAGUCCACCAACAGCUGGGUGCCAAGGCAAGUUAUCGCUCUCAGAGGACCUCUAAAAUGUAAGCAAUGUUUUAUAUGACCUAGUAAAACAUGAUGUACAGAUGUAUUUAUUAUUCACAAUGUAUAACUAUUAUGAGAUGAUAUUUAUUUAUCAAACAAAUUAAUUCAUUCCUACUAGCGAUAUGGAACACGCCAGGGUGUUUUUCUCAUACUCUGUUGCUUUUAUGUGGCAUUCCAUAUAACAAAUGUAACCCCCAAUGUGUUUUUAAGAAUAUAUAUAUAUAUAUAUGUGUGUGUAUGAUACUAUAUCACUAUAUUUGUAUUAUAAUACUAUAAUAACAACGCAGAUGAAAAUGACAUUUUCAUGUAUAUUUUUAUCUUGACCUUUACACGUCAAUUUAAUGUCAGUGACCCUCGUACCUAAGUCUCAAUCACAUUGGACUAUGAGACUUGUACAUCUAUCAUUGUCUAGUGUUUUUCUAGUAGAAGAUAAUCUUUACGUGGUCAUUUGUAACUCUUCCCCUGUUGUAGGAAGCUUAUCGUAUGGUUGGUUAAUACCCCCUUACCCAUUUCUCUUUCUUUAAGCAGAGAUAGAGGGUUCCAAAGAAAUUGAAUGAGUGUUAGCUAUAGAGAAUAAGUGUCUACAUUCUCUAAGGAAGCCCCUGAUUUCUUUGUAAGACAUAGUUUCGUCAACUAAGAAGUCAAUAUAGUCCCUUUCUUUUCAGAUUCAAGGCCUUGUUUACUUCAAUACAUCCCUCCGAAGUUCAAGUGUACAUGUGAUUAUACCACAUUGAUUGACAAAAUGAAAAUGUCUCAUUUGACCUCGCUUUGCCUUUAAUUAUCUCUCUACUACAAUGUGUUUAUGAACACAGAAGCUAUAAAAAAAAAACAACAUCUUGCUUUUAUGGCGAAUUUUCAUCAAUUGUCAAUUCAUCUUUAUAUUUGGUAACGUUCAUAUUAUAAAUAUUUUCCAAGGAGUUGAACAAUGUUUUCUGAUAUAUAAAGAAAUCAAAUUAGAGCAGCUUUAAACAUAUAUUAUCUGCAUUUAUUUCAUCACAAUAUAACACAGCACAAGAGAUGUAUGAUUGGAAUUUUUUGGAAUAAUACCUAUAUUAUAUGUAUAUUAGUUACCAUAGCAGGUUAAUGAUACACAUAGGCCAUAGUUUGAAUUGUUUAAAGAUAAAUCUUAUUGUGUGUAUUGUGUCUACUGUCUACGAGCUAUUAGCAUUCCAGGUGGUAUAUGUGUGUAUUUAUAUAUAUAAAUCAUCAAAGAUAGAUUUAUAAUAUAUAUAAUAUCAUCAAAGAUAGGCAAAAUAGACUGUGUAUAUUACAUUUGGUUUCUUUGUGUUAAAUAUAAUACAAAAAAUAUUUGAUAAGUAUAAUAGUUAUAAAGGUUAACCUUUAUUUUAUUUUAGAUAGCAGAUAUAAAGAACCAAUGAGAUAGUUAUUAUGGUGCUUGUGUAACUUAUUGGCAAAAUAUUUUUUAAACACCUUGUCGUAAUUUUCAGGAACGCAAACCAAGUGAAUGUAAAUACUAGUUAACUGGAUGCACUUGAGAUUGAAGGUAUAUAUUCUGAUAUAUCAGAAAUAUAUGUGAAUUCAACAAGCCAUUAGUAAACCUGUGCUGGACAAUAAAAUAUUUUCUUUUUGAACUUCAAUAAAAUUUGCUCUGUGUUAUUUUUUUUUUUUUUUUGUCGUGCAAUUUAUAGAAAAAGUCCACAUGAGAAAAAAAAAUUUUCUAGGAUAAUCUGUAGUUCAAACCCACUUACGACUAUUACAACUCAGUUAAAUGCAUUAGAUAGUUUGUACAUGUUAUACGUCCAUCAAAAGGUUACACUGUGGUAUUACAUUUUAUUUCCUUAACAGUUUUUCUUUUUUUUUAAAGGCACAAACUUCACACAUCGGGAUAGAUUUACCUUCCAGAAAAGAUACAAUCUGUUACAUACGAUAUAAUUGUGUGUGUAUAUAUGUGUACAUGUAUAUACGUAUGUAUAUAAAAAUAUAUAUAUGUAACUGCUAAUGUUUCCGUGUCCAUAUAUGUGUGUGCAUAAUUGUGCAGGUAUUAUGUUUACUUAACAUUUUUCCAUAAUUUAUACUCAAUAUAUGCAAAACAAACCACAAUUUGGAGCCAGUGCUGAGGCCUCAGGAAAGGGUCAUUUUUUUUUCUCCAUACUGGCUUCAGAACGGCAGCUUCACAGCCAUUUCACAACCCAUUCUCAGUUGAUGGUCUAAUUAAAUUAUGUCUUUUCUGACACAGAAACAAGGGAACAUAUGCCUUAGCUAAUGAAUUAUCCUUUUGGAACCAUAUAGAGUGUGUACACAGCCACAUAAACAGGUAACCAAGAACACAGCAAUUUGCUAGGAAUAGGCCAAUAAAACACUGAAAGGGAAGAUGUUUGGAGUAAAAAAGAAACUUUGCUGACACCUAUGAAAGAAAAACACCAUAAAAAAAGCCUUUGCUGCUUUCCCUGUGACUAGGAGGGCAUUUGAAAUGUACUGCAUUCACCAAGGAACAUCAAAGCCAAAUAUUGCACUGGGAUAAGCUAUGCAUCCAUCAAAUCAAUCUACCAAGUUUCCCAUGCAUACCAGCAAAAAAUCAAGCUCUCUUGCACUCUACAACAUAAGAUCACAGAUCACCACUUUCACGAGCAUUUGGAGAACUGACCGGCCGGUGCAAACAUAUAGCAAGCAAGGCUUAAGCUACACAAUCUCUAAGAUGCAAUUAUUUAAGACAAGAGGGACUCACCUUUCAACUUUUACUGUGUAUCCUUGGUAGAUGUGUAGCAUGAAUUUUGAUUGGUUUUGAUGGAAGAUGGUAUUGCUACUAAGGCUGAUUUUAUAGGGGUGGAGUUUUUUUUUCUUUCUUUCUUUUUU